rnacentral:lncRNA from 1 species
UUACAUAUUUCCCCUGCUCACAGACAUUUGCAUUGCACCUUGCAAACACCAGUUUUUUUGUUUGAACAUCGAUCCACAUCAAUGGCUCUUGUGAGAACAUCUCCAGGAACCUCCUCUGAUUCCAACACUUUCGGAGUUAUCGCUACGACGUGUUCUUGAGCUUCAGAGGAGAAACUCGCAAGACUUUUACCGACCACCUCUACACAGCCUUGAACAACGCAGGAUUUCUUACGUUCCGAGACGACGACGAACUUGAGAGAGGAGAAGAUAUAAAGCCAGGACUGCAGAACGCGAUCCAGCAGUCACGAACUUCUGUUGUCGUGUUUUCGAAAGAUUACGCUUCAUCCAGGUGGUGUCUUGAUGAGCUUGUGCUGAUCCUUGAACGCAAGAGGACCACCUCGGACCAUGUUGUUUUACCAGUCUUCUACGAUGUCGAUCCAUCCCACGUGAGGAAGCAGACAGGAAGUGUUGGAAAAGCAUUUGCUAGAAGCCAGAAAAAUCAGUCGUCGGAAAAGGUGGAGGGAUGGAGGAAGGCACUUGCAGAGAUUGCAGACCUAGCAGGCAUGGUCUUAAAAAAUCAAGCUGAUGGGUAACUUUCAUUAUCUCCAUUUCUCCUCUCUUUCUUUGGUCAAUUUGAUGUAUGAUCCGUAGUGACCUAGAUUUUUAUAUAUUUAUUAAUUCAAUCUCAGCAGUGAAUAAUAAUCCCAAUUCAGGUCAACUUAAAGAAAUCAUACUCAACUCAACUUAAGGAUUAGUCAUUUUCCAUGUUAAUCUACUGGUUUCCAGUUGCUUAAAUAUUUUUGAAAGCUGGUGUGGAAAAAAGUUAGGAUGUGAUCUGUAAUGUAUUUGUCUAUGGUUCGUAUAAAUUAUGCGUUCUAUUCCUUUUUUAGAAAAACUAAUGAAAAAGACUAGAAAAUUUUGAGCUAUAACGAUAAGGACAAAAUAAAGGGUAAAGUGGAUAGUAUUAAGAUUGACUUUUUAGAGUAAAAAUGUGGUUUUUCCGUUAAAGUGAACAAUACCGGGUGCUUUUUGUUAAAGUUCCUCCUUUUUUUUUUCAAUUUAAUUGUCAGCGGUCCUUUUUUUUUUCUUAUUUAAACAAAGGCAAUCAAUAUAUGUUUUAAUUAUCUAAUUUUCCCAAUUCAUUUUUCAUUUUGUUUGCAAAUUCGUAGGUAUGAGUCAACGUUUAUAAAAAACAUUGUUAAAGUGAUAGGAGACAAGUUAAGUCGCAUGCCAUUGAGUGUUGAACCAAAAUUGAUUGGAAUUCAAUCUCAAGCCGAACGCAUCAAUUUGUGGUUACAAGAUGGAUCAAGUCAUGUUGGUAUAUUUGUUGUGUAUGGCAUGUCUGGAAUAGGGAAGACAACCAUUGCAAAACAUGUUUACAAUUCAAACUUUGGAAGCUUUCAAGGAAGUAGUUUCAUUGAAAAUAUCAAAGAAACAGCAGAUCGACCAAAUGGCUUAGUUCAAAUACAAAUGCAACUUCUUUGUGAUAUUUUGAACGGCAGAGAAGUGAAAAUACAUAGUGUUAGUGAGGGAAUAAUUAAGAUUGAAAGGGCCAUAAGCACUAGAAGAGUUCUACUUGUUCUUGAUGAUGUUGACCAAAUGGACCAAUUCGAUGCAAUCCUAAGGAUGAAGGAUCAGUUUUAUCUUGGAAGUAAGAUACUAAUAACAACUAGGCGUGAAAGGUUGCUAAAGGCAGAUCAAGUUACAGAGGUGCACAGAGUUCGGACUUUGUAUUACAAUGAAUCAUUAAAGCUUUUCAGUUGGCAUGCUUUUGGCCAGGACCAUCCCAUAGAAGAAUACAUGGAGCACUCAAAACAACUAGUGCAACAUAGCAGCGGACUUCCCUUAGCUCUAAAAGUUUUGGGUUCUUCUUUAUCAGGGGAAAGUAUAGCUGUAUGGGAAAGUGCAUUGGAGAAGCUAAAAGUUAUUCCUGAUGGUGAAAUCAUGAGUAAACUAAGAAUAAGCUAUGAAAGUUUAAAAGAUGACCAUGACCAGAAAUUAUUCCUCCACAUUGCUUGUUUCCUAAUAGGAAGGAACAAAAGCUACAUUGUUAGAAUACUCGAUGGAUGUGAUUUCUAUACAAUCAUUGGCAUUCAAAAUCUCAUUGAUAGAUGCUUGGUGACACUUGAUAAAUACGGCAAGGUGGAAAUGCAUGACAUGAUUCGUGCUAUGGGAAGAGAAAUUGUUCGCCAAGAAUCAGAAGAGCCUGAGGAACGGAGUAGAUUAUGGCGCCAUAAGGAUUCUUUCCAAGUAUUGAGGAAAAAGAAUGUAAGAAACAUGCCUUUUAUGUCUAUAUAUGUAUUCCUUCUUGUGAAAAUUAUGCAUACUAAUGUCUUUUUUUUUCCUUUAGGGUACAAAAAAAAUCCAAGGUCUUGUCCUGGAUAUGCGUAAUCAUCCUGCAAACAGUCCAAUAAACACAAAUGAGAUAGUCUUGGAAACCAAUGCAUUUGCAAGGAUGCGUAAUUUACAACUACUCCAUCUUAGUCAUGUACGACUGGAUGGAUGUUAUGCACUUUUCCCUACAGGAUUAAGAUGGUUGUGUUGGCUUGAAUUUCCUUUGGAUUCUAUACCAAUUGAUUUUCCUUUGGAGAACGUAAUUGUUCUUGAAAUGCAAUACAGUAGCUUGAGACAAGUAUGCAAAGGAACAAAAGUAUGUUACUCUAUGCAUUUCAAUUCAUUUUCCUUAUUGUGUUAGUUUUUUAUGGGGUGUGAUAUCCACACACCCUUUUUUACUUGUCUCACACCUUUUGGGUUUUCGACCGUCGGAUUGGAUGAAUUGAAGAAGAUCAACGGACAGAAAUUAACAAUGGGUGUGUGAGAAGUAAAAAGUGGUGUGUGGAUAGCACACCCCUUUUUUAUUUGUUGACCAACUCCGUGUGCUAAAAUGAACUACUAUGUUUUCUUUAAUUCGAUGACUAAUUUCUUAUGUUAGAUACUUAUUUCAUUGUUCUUUUUUCUUUUAUUUAUUUUUCCUCUGUUUCCACAGUUUCUUCCAUCGUUGAAGAUCCUUGACGUCAGCCAUUCUCAUGGCCUUAGUGAAACCAUUGACUUCUCACUUUUCCCCAAUCUAGAGGAACUGAUUCUUGUAGGUUGCACAAGCCUGAAGAAUGUUCAUGAAUCCAUUGGAAACUUGGAGAGACUCGUGUACUUGAAUAUGAAGGAUUGCAAGAAUCUUAGGAAGCUUCCAAAGAACAUGUGCAUGCUUAAAUCACUUGAAACACUCAUUUUAUCUGAUUGCUCAAAUCUUGUUGAGUUUCCAGUAGAGAUGAUGAAGAACAUGGAGUCUCUGAAAGUUCUUGAGACAGAUGGAAUUCUAAUAGGUGAAUUGAGGCCAGAAAGAAGUUCAACCAUCUUGAGUUCUUUUCCAUGCUCUUUAGUAGAGUUAAGUAUGAAGAGGUGCAAUCUUUCUGAUGAUGUCCUUCCUACGGAUUUAAGUAAUCUAUCCUACUUGCGAAGACUACAUUUAGAUGAGAAUCCAAUUUGCAGUCUGCCAGUUUUCAUCAAAGGUUUGAGGAGGAUCGAUGAACUCUCUUUCGAGGGUUGUGAUAGGCUCGAAUCGCUUGUGGGGUUGCCGGAAUUACACCAAGGGCUAAGUAUAGUCGGAUGCAUAUCAUUAAAAAAAAUAACUUUUCAUUCCCCUGAGCGGUUGUGUCCAAUUUUUUUUUGUGACAACUGGAAUCUUGUUGAGUGGGAGCGCUGUUACAAGUUAGAGCCUAUUGAUAGAGUUGAUGUGGAAAUGAUCAAACUUUUGGGCUUGUGCAACUUGGAAUCCAUGCCAGCUGUUCGAAUGAAUUAUCUACACUCAUACAAGGAUCGAAAAGAGGUCCCCGUCCAGGUACGCCUCUCUUUCUCUCUCACAUGAGUCUUAAAUAUAUAAUGGGAAAUAAAUGACUGAGUAAUGUUGUGAUGACUGUGGCAAAUACAUAGGAACUGUGUCAACGUGGUAUAUUCAGAACGUUUUUUGUUGGGAAUGAGGUUCCAGGCCAGUUCAGCUAUAUAAGUACCAAGUCCUCGAUAUCUUUUAUUGUCCCUUUACUACAUGCUAGUCACAGAAUUCGAGGCUUGAACAUCUUUGCUACCUAUGCAAAGAAAAAUUCAAAUAAUUAUUCUACUAUACCUAUUAUUGGUCCAAUAAUGAUCAAAGUGAGAAACAAGAGUAAGGGUCUGAAGUGGAUCUAUAGCCCAGAGUUCCGUGGAAUUCCAGGUGACGGAGAAGAUAUGAUAUGGUUGAGCCAUUGUAAGAUGGAGUAAAACAAUAUUACAAUGUGGAGAUGAAGUGGUGGUUUCGGUAAUAUCCGGACGACGUGACUUGUUUUGGGUAAAGGAGUUUGGUGUCCAGCUUGUGCAAGAGCACCAAGACAGGAUGAGUACCCAACACAACAAAUCAGAUCCUAAUUAUGCAUUUGUUAUCGGUGGAGAUUUGAAGAUGUGGGAGUGCAGUUUGGGAUUAUACCUCAUUGGCGGUUAUGAAGGAGGAGAUAUUGACCGCAUUGAUAUCCUCACCAUGGACUCUGAUGAAGAAGACACAAGUAUGUUGUGUUGUUGUAUUGCGUUGAAUUAUACUUCAUCCAAACACUUCCAGGUGUGUCCGUAUUCAUUUCAAAAACGUUUCCAAUAAAUUUUAUGUUAUUUGUUUGUUUUUCAGACAAAGAAGGGCAAGAGGAUGAACCUGAUUACACAAUUGCAAAGACGAGGGCUGCUAGCAAUAACUGCAGCCUGAGAGGCUGGAAGGUGCGCCUCACAGCUGUCGGCUUCUUUUUCGCGCUGGCUCUAGUAGGUUGGCCCUCCCAAAAAAAGAAGCGACACUCGUCCACAAGCCCACCAUGAGUUUGUAAUUUGACUUGAUAUAGAUAUAUCUUUGCAUUCCUUGCUCUCAAGAUGUUUUCUACCUUCAAAACUUCAGGUUCAGAGCUAAGCACUCUUAACCGCUUGAGAUAUAAAAGCCCCUUGCAACUAGAUAACGAAGUCCAAAUGUGUUCAACGCCAUCAAAUAUAGCAUAAAAUACAUCUGGCAUUAGCGAUACUAGCAGAGUAGCAGUAAAUAAGUAAAACAAAAAAAAUGCUUCUACACAUGGUAAGGGAAGGACCUUGACAUGGUAAGGAGGCUCUUCUGUCAUUACCAAAGUUCAAAUCUGUUGAUACCUUAUCUUGCAACUCUUAGAGGCUCUUCUGUCAACAAUCUUCCUCUUCUAAGCAUGCAACUUUUUAAAGAAUAAAGGGCUUGUCUGUGCGAAUAAUCAAGUUCCAAGUCCACUAUUGAAAAUCAUGUUCAUCCAUCCUACACAUCCAAAGCAGCAAACUAACUAGGAUACCAGGUUGGGAGGAUACAAUCAUUAACAAUUUCAAACGCUUUAAAUGCAAUCUGAAUACAUGGCAAGUAGGGGUAAACAUGUGAACAGAAAAAUCAAUGAACAUAAUCAAAUCGAAUAAGUCAAUUUUUGACACGCCCCGACCCUGAUAUUUCCCAAAUACCAGGACCGACACGUGCUGGCCGACAUCCGGGGGUGACGAAAGCCAUUAAUUGAUACAAAAGCUAAGAAUAAGAAAUAAAUAAGGGUUAGAAAUUUAAAAUACAAAGAAUUUAUAAUUUAGGAACGUGCUCAGAGCAUACAACUAAACCUAAUCACUAAAAGGAAUUAAGAUAAAAUUUAAUGAAUAAAGGAGUGAGUCCUACAUUCGAGAGGAUCCGAAGAUGCUGCUGCGGAAGUGCCUUCACGCCGGGAUUAGGUGCCUUGAUUCUAAGUCCUGAAUGGGGGCGCAAAACAAAAGGUGAGUGGACCAAGUUCAUAUAUAUAUAUAUAAUAAUAAUAAUAAUAAUAAUAAUAAUAAUAAUAAUAAUAAUAAUAAUAAUAAAACAGUUAUCAAUGUACUAACCCCCAAAGUUUAUAUAAUGAAAACUACUAGCAUAAUAAGUGAUGGAUUUAAUAAAAAUCCUAGCAUGCCAAAUAUAUCUCAAAAGUCACAUCGCGGAAAUCAAAACAGUAAACGCAUCAUAAAACGUCUCGUAAACGCGAUGUGCUGCUAGAAAGAUCACUGAAUAAAUAUAACUCCCGGCCCAAUGCCUGCACCUCAGUCUCUGUGCCCGUAGCCAGAGAUAACUCCCUCCCGGCCCAAUGCCUGUCUCCGUGUCCCUCAGCCUUUCGCUAGGGAUUAUUUCUUCCGGCCCACAUGCCAACACCAGAUCCUCGCCCCAGGCGGCAUAGUGUCUACUAGUUACGCACAAAAUGUUACGCCUCUCGUAAAUACCACUUCAUAGUGUAGGUUACCGAUCAUCGUCUACACUAUAAAGAGGGGUUCAAAAACAUGUUCUAGCAUCCUAUCGUCAUCUAUCAGAUAAUCUACCAGUUCAUGGUUUUUAUAGAAAAUACGAAAUAUUAAAAUAUAGCUCAAUAUAGACUAACAAUUAAUUCCUCACCAAAACACGAGACGAUAAUCAAUAUAUUAAAUCAUCAGGCUUCACAUAAAUCCAAUUGUAAAUCCGUAGGCAUGCUAAUCAUUUAUGUAAUUGAAUUAUUAAAUCAUGUAAUUUUAGAAGGGGUCCACUCACAAAUAUUCCUUAGCAGAAGAGUCGCACGAAUAAGGAUUAAGAAUUUCUCCACUAGCAACAUUACCUAAGCACAAAAUGGUAAUAAUUAAAUAAAAGGAUUUUCUAAAAGAUUGAGCUUGAAUUAAAUAAAAUAAAGGAAUUGGGUUUGGAUGGAUUUAGGUUUUAAAGGGUUUUAGGAACCUAGGGUUUUUGGGUUAAAAUGGUUUUAGGGUGGAAAAAUGAUGGUUUGGGCUUAAGCCCAAAUACACCCACACUACAAUUACACACACAUGCACGGCAUGCACAUGCAUGCAUAGCAUGCAUAUACACACACGCACACAUGCACUAACUCACACACACACACACGGCCCGCAGGCCUUAAACCCAAAAAGGAAGACUGGGCUUUAAGCCCCAAUUUAAAAGGACUAGGCCCUAAGGCCCUUAGGUGUUGGGUUUUAAAAAGAACAUAACCAAAAUUAAAAACUGAACGGGCCACGGUACUGGGCUGGCUUCAAAACGGGUUAGGCCCGUGGGGAAAUUUGGGUGGCCUGAAGGCCUGGGUGUUUUCACGGAAGGGAAAGCCGGAGCUGUAGCUCCGGUAGGUGACGUCCUAGCAAACUAGGGUUCAAAACCAACAUUAAAAUGGAGAGGAGAACGAGAGGAGUAAUUCUAUACCAUUGCUUCGUUGUUGAAUGGACGUGUGUGACCGGAAAAAGCCCACGAAGGCCAGUGUUCGCCAUAAAGUUUGGGGGUUCUUUUCUUCUGUGGUGGCUCCGCCUUAACAUUGAGAAAACAACAUAAAUCACCACACAACCACCAACAACAAGAAGUUCUUUGAGGAAAAUAGAUCGAGGUCUCACCUAACCGAAAAAUAAAAGGAAGUCGCAGGAGAUUCGUUUCUCCGUUUGGGCCGACUUUAAUGCAGCGGGGACAGGAAAAUCAGGGCAAUGAUGGUGACUGGGCUGCUGGUCUUGUGCACAACUUGCAACGCAGGUUGUUUGGGUUGCUCACGGUGCAGCAGAAAAGAGAGAUGAGAGGGUGUUGAGCGAGAGAGAGAGAAGGAGAAAGAGGGAAAGAGGAAAAGGAGAGGGUCACGGGGGAUACAAAAAUAAAAGGGAUGGGCUCCUGGCUCACCAAUUAAGAAUUAAAAACCAUUUUUAAAUAAAAGGGGGGGAUUUAACAAUUUUGGCUAGAUUGAAAUGAAAAAAACAAGGAAAUGCUUUGUGUAUCGAUUUGUUUAUGAAGGAAAUAAAACAUGUGGUUACCUUUGUCUUCCUCUGCCAUUUGUCUAUCGAUUUGUUUCCGAAAGUGGCUAUUCUACAAGAUACAACAUGACAUGUCUUAGUUAGACCAAGUAACCGGCACGAAAAUGCUUUCUGAAGUAAGAAUCUGAACUCAAGAGCUUUAUGCCAGAGAGACUUAAGAAAAAUAAAAAAAAAAACAUAGAAAAUGGGUAAGAAUAAACAUCGAUCAGACAAUAAUUCUCGUAUAAAUCAUUUUUCAACUUUAAAGUGUGGCUUAAAAAGAAGCUUUAAACAAGUAGCAAUAAUUUCAUAUUGAAAAAUAAAACCUAUUUCAUGGAUAUUACAAGAGCCAUUAUUUUGAAAAACACACCUUUUGGUUUUUCACUGCUUGACUUUUAAGAAGAUCUUCGUCCUUGUGACGAUUCUGAUUCUUUAAAAUAUCUCUGCGAUGGAUUCUGAUUCUUUAAAAUAUCUCUGCGACGGAAUAAACAAAACCAAUCUAGGCCAAAAUUGACUUAUUCGAUUUGAUUAUGUUCACUGAUUUUUCUAUUCACAUUUUACCCCUACUUGCCAUAUAGUUUUCGGGGUGUUAGAGCAUAGUUCUCUUUUCUUUACACGCAAGUUUCAAUUUUAUUUAACGUAAAUUAAGAGACCAUUUGAUAAUCAUUUCGUUUUCAGUUUAAAAAAUAUAAAAAACUAAAUGGAGUUUUCAAAAUUUAGCCUAGAGUUUUUGCUUUUGAUUUUCAAUUUUAAUUUUUUUUAAACAACUGAAAACUAAAAAUAGUUACAAAAAGAAAUUUUCAGUUUUUAAUUUAAAAAAAAAAAGUAAAAACUGAAAACUCUAAACUGUAGACUAAAAAUUCAAAAAGUGAAAUCGAAAUGGGCUCUCAACAAAAUUGAAAAAAGACUGGGCUGAUUUAGUGAAUUCAAAGCAGAGCUUAUUAACGCUACGAGGCCCAAUGGAUCCGUAUAAAUAUUUUUUGUUAUUUUUUUUUAACUAACGAUAUUAUCUACGUGAACGUAACCUCACAAUUGGUUAGCAAUAAUGUAUUUCAAAUUUGUUUUUGGAAAAAAUCGAACAUAAGACCUCUCAAAUGAAGAGGAAUACCACUAAGUGGCUCGGUAUUUUAUUUUAUAUUUUAAGGAAAAAGAAAGAAAGCAAUGAACAGGUGUACAUAAACUAAACACAAAAGGUAAUGAAAUGAAGAGGAGUGGGAGACUUAACGUUUAAUUCAAGACAAAGAAAGGUAAUCGCACCACGACGGCGGCGACGUGGCGGUCAUUUAACAAAAUAACAGACAAAUCAACCUCCAGAUCAAGUCUUGAAGCACAACUCUGAAAAAUCGAGACUACCUACCGCUGAGCUCCUACCAACCGUUGAUGGAGGCAAUCAGGAAGCUCAGAGAUCAGGUCGCCAAGCAACAGCAGUUACUCUCUCUCUCUUGUUUGAUUCCGAAUUUAUAUUUCUGUAUGGAUUUUGAUAUGAACAUAACUGCGUUGAUUGCGAGAUACUGAGAUUGCUUAAUGAAAUAAUAUUUAUAUAAUUGUUCGAGUUGAAUUGGAUCGAUUCGAGUAGAAUUUCACUAUUUCUGAGCUGUUUGGGGCUCUGUUGGAGUGCAAUGUUGCUGAAUUUCUGAAAUUUUGAGCUAGGCGUUGCUAAUUACUUAUCGAUUUUGGGAAUUAAUUGGAUGCUUAAUUUUUACAUUUUCGGAAAACUUCAAGCGAAAAUGGCAUAUAAUUCAACGUUCUAUGCUUCAUUAAUGCAUAGGAGUUAGUCGAAGCUUUAUCGAGUUUGCUUUUGAUUAUUUUGUGAACACCGUCAGGCUGUGUUCAAACAAUUUUCUGGUGGCGUAUAUGGGGGAUCGGAUAAUGUUGCCUCGGAUGAAAAUGAAUUUCAACAGCAUCAGAAACUCGAGAAGCUGUACAUAUCAACUCGUGCUGCCAAGGUUGCUACUGUUAGACAAAUAGAAGUAUUAGUUGAUUGUAAUCCUAAUUAUAUUUGUAUUCCUAAUUUGUAUCCCUAACUUGUAGGGUUAAUACCUUGGUGUGCAAGGAAUGUGAUUGUAUAUAUUGGUAUUCACGUAUUAAUGAAAGAUACUUUUCAUCCACAUAUUCUUUUUCUACAUGGUAUACAGAGCAGGUUUUAAACCCUAGCUUUUUCAAAUUUUUUUUUUGGCAGCCAUCUCUGCCGUUUCUUUCUUUCACCAUGGGAGACUCUUCUUCUGAUGGUAACACUAACCCGUUUUAUCUUCACCAUUCCGACCAUCCCAAUCUUGUUCUUGUCUCCAAGAGGUUAAACGGAGAUAACUACACGACCUGGGCACGCGGGAUGCACAUCUCCUUAAGCGCCAAGAAUAAACUUGGUUUUAUUACGAGAGACAUUGAAGAACCUUCUGCUUCCAAGGACCCUGAUGCUCAUGCUUCCUGGAGGCGCUGCAACGAUAUGAUCCUUUCCUGGAUCCUUUCUUCCCUGGAGCCUGAUCUUGCCGACUCGGUUCUUUUUUCCACUACUCCCAAGGCUGUUUGGGAUGACCUGUGUGAGCGUUUCUCCCAAAGCAACGCUCCCCGUAUCUUCCAUCUGAAUCGUGAAAUUGCCACCAUCUCCCAAGGGUCAUCCUCUGUCUCUGCGUACUUCACUCGCCUGAAAGGGCUUUGGGACGAGCUCGCCUCCUAUAAUGAUGCCUAUUCUUGUUCUUGUGGCACCAAACAUGAUCGUCAGCACCUGAUGCAAUUUCUUAUGGGUCUUAACGAUUCGUUUGCCGCCGUCCGGGACCAAAUUCUUUUGAUGAACCCUUUGCCCACUGUCCGCCAGGCCUGUUCAUCUGUUUCUCAGGCUGAAAAGCAGCGCGCCAUAGGUUCUUCACGUCCUGCCGACCCCCCCCGCUGCCAUGGUUGUACGGAGCUCUUCUCGAUCUUCGUCCGACCGACCCCCUCUCCAUUGCACCUAUUGUGAUUAUGACUUCCACACCCGUGACACUUGCCAUAAACUGCAUGGGUAUCCCGUUGGCCAUCCCCUUCAUGGUCAGCCGUGGAGACCACCUCACCGCCAUUCGACUUCUACUGGUUCUGCGCGCAGCAGUGGAUCUGCUUCUUCUGGCCGUAGCAGCGUCGCUGCCUCUUCUGCCCGCAGCACUAAUGGUGCUUCUCGGUCCCCCUUAGGCCCCAGCGGCCCAUCACAACCUGGUCCAUCCGCCCAUCAUGUGAACAGUCAGCCCACUCUGCAUGAAUUGCAGGUUGCCAUGCCUACUCUUUUUGCCGAGCAACAUUCCCGCCUUCUUGCCGCUCUCAAUGACACCUCGCCACCUCCUCCUCAGGCCCAUGCCGUUACCAGUACUGAUUUUGCCCAAGGUUUGUUACCCGUGGCUUCUUGUCAUGGUCAAUGGAUCAUUGACAGCGGCGCCACAAAUCAUAUCACUUCUUCUGCUUCGUGUUUGGUUAAUACUUCUACGUCGCACUUGCCACCCGUUUCUCUGCCUAGUGGUGCCACCGCUCCCAUUACUUUAACUGGAACUAUUCGUUUAAAUUCCUCGAUUGAUUUGGACGAUGUUUUAUGUGUCCCUAACUUUAAAGUGGACCUUUUAUCGGUUGGUAAGCUUACAGAUGGUUUAUCGUGUUCCAUAACCUUUUUUCCUUCUUGGUGUGUUUUGCAGGACUUGGUUUCGAAGGCGACGAUUGGUGUGGGUAAGCGACGUGGCGACCUUUAUUACCUUGUGGCCCUUGCAUCCUCUCUCCCCACCCGUCAACCUCUAUGCAACAUCAUCACUAUACCUUCUCCCUUAUGGCAUCGGCGUCUUGGUCACCUUUCUUCUCGCAGUCUGCAAGUUCUAGCAUCUACUUUCCUUAAUUGUCCCUUAGAUUCUAGUCAUGUUUGUGAUGUUUGUCCUCUGGCCAAACAAACCCGUCAACCUUUUGGUUUAAGUUCAAUUUCAACAACUUUUCCUUUUGCUUUAAUUCAUUGUGAUAUUUGGGGUUCGAAUCGUCAAUCUUCCCUUACUGGCGCUCAUUAUUUUUUGACUAUUGUGGAUGAUUUUUCCCGCUUUACGUGGGUAUUUCUCAUGCAACAUAAAUAUGAUACUCAACCCAUCAUCAAACAAUUUUUUGCAUAUGUUCAAACCCAAUUUCAUACAAAGGUUCAAAGCAUUCGUACCGAUAAUGGCGGAGAAUUUAUUUCUCUUCGCAAUUUUUUUUCUGAUAAUGGGGUUCUUUUUCAAACUUCAUGUGUCUACACCCCCAACAAAAUGGCGUUGUUGAAUGCAAACAUAGGCACCUUCUUGAAGCUCGCGCCCUUCGAUUUCAAUCCCAUCUUCCACUCAAAUUUUGGGGUGAAUGUGUCCUUACCGCUGCCUAUACCAUCAAUCGUCUCCCUACUCGACUUUUGCAUAAUAAAUCUCCUUUUGAGGUCCUCCAUACUAAACCCCCAUCCUAUGACCACUUCCGUGUCUUCGGUUGUCUCGCUUAUGCCACUUCCAUCAACCCUACCACUAAAUUUUCCCCUCGGGCCCAUCGAUGCACCUUCAUUGGUUAUCCUCAUGGUCAAAAAGCUUACAAAUUAUAUGACUUAGAAACCCACCGCACCUUCACCAGUCGCGAUGUAAUUUUUCAUGAAAACAUUUUUCCUUUUGCUGCCACGCCCCCACCUACACCACCCAUCACCCCUCCUCUGUCUUUUCCACCUUCCCAAGAUAUUUCUUACCCACCCUCUCCCCGACCCACGUGUCCUUUCUCUCAUCCCUCACCUGCCACAUCACCUAUCCAUCCGUCCCCUAUUCCAGAUACCACCUCUCCACCCCACCCCAUUUCCAUCUCACCUUUCCCGUCCCCCACUAAUACCCUUUCCCAACCGGCCCCACCUAUUCCCUCUUCCACCGACAACCCCACUCCUUCCCCCACCCUUACGGUCCCCCCUCCUCAGUCACUACCCACUGCCAAUCCUUCUACCCGCACUUCUUCCCGCACCCACAACCCUCCCCAAUAUUUAAAGGACUAUGUUUGCUCGCAGGUGAUUCUGCCUCCACACCCUUCGUCGACUUCGCAGCCCGGUUCUGUCAAAGGUACGCGAUAUCCUCUUUGUAACUUUAUUUCUUACCACCGCAUCUCUCCACCCCAUCUUUCAUAUAUUUACUCCGUCAGUCGGAGUUUGGAGCCAUCUUCUUUUGCAGAGGCUGCUCGUGAUCCUAAUUGGCGUCGGGCCAUGGCUGACGAACUUGAGGCUUUACAUGCCAAUGGUACUUGGACAUUGACUCCCUUGCCUCAUGGCAAAGUUCCUAUUGCUUGUAAGUGGGUGUACAAACUGAAGCAUAACUCUGACGGUUCCAUAGAGCGUUAUAAAGCUCGCUCGGUUGCUAAGGGCUUCACUCAAGCUGCUGGUAUUGAUUAUCAUGACACAUUUUCUCCUACUGCUAAGAUGAUUACAGUACGUUGUCUUCUUGCCCUUGCUGCUAGUCAGUCUUGGUCUCUUCAUCAGCUCGAUGUUAAUAAUGCUUUCUUGCAUGGUGAUUUACAUGAGGAAAUUUAUAUGUCUCCUCCUCCUGGUCUUCGGCGACAGGGGGAGAAUCUUGUGUGUCGCCUUCACAAAUCUCUUUACGGUCUCAAGCAAGCUUCUCGCCAAUGGUUUGCCAAGUUCACUAGUGCCAUUAUUUCUGCUGGUUUUCAACAGUCCAAAGCUGAUUAUUCACUGUUCACCAGAAAGUCCGGUAAUUCCUUCACAGCCUUACUCAUUUAUGUGGAUGAUAUUGUGAUUACAGGCAACGACGUCAGUGCCAUCAAUGCUUUGAAAUCUUUUCUCCAUGACCAUUUUCGGAUAAAAGACCUUGGUGAUUUAAAAUAUUUUUUGGGUAUUGAGGUUUCUCGAUCCCAACGUGGGAUUUAUAUUUCACAGCGUAAGUAUGCAUUAGAGAUUCUCAAGGAUUAUGGUUUUCUGGGAGCACGGCCCAUCGCUUUUCCUAUGGAUGAUACUAAAUUAUCUGAUAAAGGAGAACUUCUCAAAGAUCCUGAAAAGUAUCGGCGUUUAAUAGGACGGCUAAUCUACCUUACUAUAACUCGGCCGGAUAUCACUUAUUCCGUGCAUGUUUUGAGUCGGUUUAUGCACGAGCCACGUAUACCUCAUAUGGAUGCUGCACUUCGUGUUGUUCGUUAUUUGAAGUCUACGCCAGGUCAAGGCUUAUUAUUUAGUUCUGACAAUCAAACCAAAUUAACUGCUUUCUGUGACUCUGAUUGGGCAGGUUGUCCUGUCACUCGCCGUUCGACUACUGGGUAUUGUGUAUUCUUGGGAAAUUCUUUGAUUUCGUGGCGGACAAAGCGUCAGAAAACUGUUUCACUUUCUUCAGCUGAGGCAGAAUACAGGGCUAUGGCAGGUGCUUGUUGUGAGUUAAUUUGGCUUCGUUUUUUGUUGAAGGAUUUGAACAUUCCUUUAGGAAGUCCUUCCGUCUUGUUUUGCGAUAAUCAAGCAGCGUUACAUAUAGCAGCUAAUCCUGUUUUUCAUGAACGAACUCGUCAUAUUGAGAUGGAUUGUCACUUUAUACGAGAUAAGAUUGCAGAUGGAACUAUAGCAACCAAGUUUGUGGGUACGGCGCACCAAUUGGCAGAUUUGUUCACCAAGCCUCUCGGGAAGGACAAGUUUUCGACUAUGUUACGCAAGUUGGGAGUUCUUGACAUCCACUCUCCAACUUGAGGGGGAGUGUUAGACAAAUAGAAGUAUUAGUUGAUUGUAAUCCUAAUUAUAUUUGUAUUCCUAAUUUGUAUCCCUAACUUGUAGGGUUAAUACCUUGGUGUGCAAGGAAUGUGAUUGUAUAUAUUGGUAUUCACGUAUUAAUGAAAGAUACUUUUCAUCCACAUAUUCUUUUUCUACAGCUACGCUUAUUUUUUGUCUGUGCUUUAAACGAGCAUCACGUUAGUUGUGUUACCUAUCGUUUUUUGCUUCUUCUUUAACAGCAUUACCAAAAGGAAAUUGUCCACGGAGUGGAAGGUUACAUUGUGGCCGGUUCAAAUGCGUUGUCUUUUCUUGUGAGUUUGGAUAUGAAUUCAUGUUGGUAUUAUCAGUUGGUAUACAUAAUACUUUUUCAACAGGUACCAAGGUAUCAGAAGAUAGCAGGAAAUAUGGUUCUGAAAAGACUUGCACCAGUGGUAACACAUUGUCGAAAGCUGCACUGAGUUCUGGAAGAGCUCGGGCCCAAAUGGAAAAAGAGUGCUGAGUUCUACUUAAAGCCCUUGGCACACAGGUUUAAGUCAAAUUAUUACUAACAAAUGGCUCGUUAAGUAAAAAUCAAAUAUUGCCAGGGCCGGCUUCACACAAAUGGAAUUUCAACUGACUAAUUUUCGUGUGCAUUUGAUCAUUUCGAAAGAAAUUUACAGUAAAAAUUGUUUCCAUUUUCACAUGUGGUUGAAGAACUGGACUACUUUUUGUGUUAUUAUGCAUCAUAUGACAAACUGGUUCACCAUUUCUUUCUAUAGGUUUGCAUAAUAACUCUUUCUGUACUUAUCAAUUUGCCUUUGUAGGUUGUAGAGCCUUUAAGAGCAAUGAUAGUGGGAGCACCCUUGGAGGAUGCUCGACAUCUAGCUCAACGAUAUGCUAGAAUGCGGCAAGAAGCUGAUGCUCAGGUACAUGCAGUUUCUUCUGUUUCCUGCCAAUUUUGUACUACAGUGAUUUUGUAUGUUACAUGGUGAUCGUACAUUUUCUCGGUUAACUUUUUUUGUUUUCUUUUCAAAGUGUUUGGGUCUAGUUGAUGAGUUUUGUUACAUGGUGAUCGUACAUUUCCUACCAAUUUUACACUACAGUGAUUUUAUAUGUUACAGAGAUCGAGUAGCAAAGCGCAGUGCAAAAAUUGCCUACUAGUAAGUGGGCCUAGUUGAUGAGUUUUGUAAGUCUUUCUGUACUCAUUUCUCUUAUUGUUUGUCCUGGUUUAAGAGUCUGAGGAUUUUCUCAGUGGUGAGUUUUACCUUGUUAAAUCCUACAUCAUGUGUACACAUGUUAUUUGUCUUUUUAAUUGCAAAUGUGUAGAAUAAUCUUUCACUUAUUUUCUUGUAGUGAACCCUAUCUUAGACAUUCAUCAACAUAUAGAGUUUAUGACAGAGGACUUUGCUACUAUAUUAUUCAGUGCAUUGAUUAAUUUGUAAAGUGCUCAUUUAUCCUAAUUAUAAAAUAUAAUAUGUACAAGACCUUAAUGUGGCCAUAUCCUUUAUUUCUACCAUUCUUAUCAACCGGAUGGGGAGAGAUUGUCUUCGUCUCACAAACCCAUAAUGUGGCAAUCGUCCAUAAGAAAAUCUUUGUACAAUUAAAAGUGCAAUUAAAAGAUGAGCAACGAUCAAUAUAAUUGUUAUUUAUAAAAUCACACAUAAAACAAGAAGUAAUCUUUUCUUUUUCUUUUCAUCUCUGCCACUAGCGGCCGGCCAUGACUUAAAGAAACGUUUUUUUGGGUCAAUGGAUGGGAACGACCCAUUUUAUAAUUGUUUGUAAAUUUUUCUGGAAGUAGAUGGAAAUGACCCUUGCAUUGCACCUAGCAAACACCAGUUUUUUUGUUUGAACAUCGAUCCACAUCAAUGGCUCUUGUGAGAACAUCUCCAGGAACCUCCUCUGAUUCCAACGCUUUUCAGAGUUAUCGCUACGAUGCGUUCUUGAGCUUCAGAGGCGAAGAAACUCGCAAGACUUUUACCGACCACCUCUACACAGCCUUGAACAAUGCAGGAUUUCUUACAUUCCGAGACGAUGAUGAACUUGAGAGAGGAGAAGAUAUAAAGCCAGGACUGCUGAAAGCGAUCCAGCAGUCACAAACUUCUGUUGUCGUGUUUUCGAAAGAUUACGCGUCAUCCAGGUGGUGUCUUGAUGAGCUUGUGCUGAUCCUUGAACGCAAGAGGACCACCUCGGACCAUGUAGUUUUACCAGUCUUCUACGAUGUCGAUCCGUCCCACGUGAGGAAGCAGGCAGGAAGUGUUGGAAAAGCAUUUGCUAGAAGCCAGAAAAAUCAGUCGUCGGAAAAGGUGGAGGGAUGGAGGAAGGCACUUGCAGAGAUUGCAGACCUAGCAGGCAUGGUCUUACAAAAUCAAGCUGAUGGGUAACUUUCAUUAUCUCCAUUUCUUUUCUCUUUCUUGGGUUAAUUUGAUGUAUGAUCCGUAGUGACCAAGAAUUUAAUAUAUUUAUUAAUUCAAUCUCCAUUUAGGUCAACUUAAAGAAAUCACACUCAACUCAACUUAAGGAUUAGUCAUUUUCCAUGUUAAUCUACUGGUUUCCAGUUGCUUAAAUAUUUUUGAAAGCUGGUGUGGAAAAAACUUAGGAUGUGAUCUGUAAUGUAUUUGUCUAUAGUUCGUAUAAAUUAUGCGUUGUAUUCCUUUUUUAGGAAAACUAAUAAAAAAGUCUUUAAAACUUUGAGUUUUAACGAUAAGGACAAAAUAAAGGGUAAAGCGAAUAGUAUCAGGAUUGACUUUUUAGUGUAAAAAUGUGGUUUUUCGUUAAAAUGAACAGUACCAGAAGUUUUUCGUUAAAGUUCCCUUUUUUUUCAAUUUAAUUUUGUCAGCAUUCCUCUUUUUUUUCUUAUUUAAACAAAGGCAAUCAACAUAUGUUUUAAUUAUCUAAUUUCCCCAAUUCAUUUUUCAUUUUGUUUGCAAAUUCUUAGGUACGAGUCAAAGUUUAUCAAAAAAAUUGUUAAAGUGAUAGGAGACAAGUUAAGUCGCACGCCGUUGAGUGUUGAACCAAAAUUGAUUGGAAUUCAAUCUCAAGCCAAACGCAUCAAUUUGUGGUUACAAGAUGGAUCAAGUGAUGUUGGUAUAUUUGUUGUGUAUGGCAUAGGGAAGACAACCAUUGCAAAACAUGUUUACAAUUCAAACUUUAGAAGCUUUCAAGGAAGUAAUUUCAUUGAAAAUAUCAAAGAAACAGCAGAUGGACCAAAUGGCUUAGUCCAAAUACAAAUGCAACUUCUUUGUGAUAUUUUGAACGGCAGAGAAGUGAAAAUACAGUGUUAGUGAGGGAAUAAUUAAGAUUGAAAGGGCCAUAAGCUCUAGAAGAGUUCUACUUGUUCUUGAAGAUGUUGACCAAAUGGACCAAUUAGAUGCAAUCCUAAGGAUGAAAGAUCAGUUUUAUCCGGGAAGUAAGAUACUAAUAACAACUAGGCGUGAAAGGUUGCUAAAGGCAGAUCAAGUUACAGAGGUGCACAGAGUUCAAACUUUGGAUUACAAUGGAUCAUUAAAGCUUUUCAGUUGGCAUGCUUUUGGCCAGGACCAUCCCAUAGAAGAAUACAUGGAGCACUCAAAACAGCUAGUGCAACAUAGCGGCGGACUUCCAUUAGCUCUAAAAGUUUUGGGUUCUUCUUUAUCAGGGGAAAGUAUAGGUCUAUGGGAAAGUGCAUUGGAGAAGCUAAAAGUUAUUCCUGAUGCUGAAAUCAUGAAUAAGCUAUGAAUAAGCUAUGAAAGUUUAAAAGAUGACCAUGACCGGAAAUUAUUCCUCCACAUUGCUUGUUUCCUAAUAGGAAGGAACAAAAGCUACAUUGUUAGAAUAUUCGAUGGAUGUGAUUUCUAUACAAUCAUUGGCAUUCAAAAUCUUAUUGAUAGAUGCUUGGUGACACUUGAUGAAAACGGCAAGGUGAAAAUGCAUGACAUGAUUCGUGCUAUGGGAAGAGAAAUUGUUCGUCAAGAAUCAGAAGAGCCUGAGAAACGUAGUAGAUUAUGGCGCCAUAAGGAUUCUUUCCAAGUAUUGAGGAAAAAGAAUGUAAGAAACAUGCCUUUUAUGUCUAUAUAUGUAUUUCUUCUUGUGAAAAUUAUGCAUAUUAAUGUCUCUUUUUUUUUCCUUUAGGGUACAAAAAAAAUCCAAGGUCUUGUCCUGGAUAUGCGUAACCAUCCAACAAACAGUCCAAUAAACACAAAUGAGAUAGUCUUGGAAACCAAUGCAUUUGCAAGGAUGUGCAAUUUACAACUACUCCAUCUUAGUCAUGUACGACUGGAUGGAUGUUAUGCAGAUUUCCCUACAGGAUUAAGAUGGUUGUGUUGGCUUGAAUUUCCUUUGGAUUCUAUACCAAUUGAUUUUCCUUUGGAGAACGUAAUUGUUCUUGAAAUGCAAUACAGUAGCUUGAGACAAGUAUGCAAAGGAACAAAAGUAUGUUACUCUAUGCAUUUCAAUUCAUUUUCCUUAUUUUGUUAGUUUUUUAUUUGUCGACCAACUCCAUGUGUUAAAAUGAACUACUAUGUUUUCUUUAAUUCGAUGACUAAUUUGUUAUAUUAGAUACUUAUUUCAUUCUUCUUUUUUUUUUCUUUUUUUUCCCUCUGUUUCCACAGUUUCUUCCAUCAUUGAAGAUCCUUGACGUCAGCCAUUCUCAUGGCCUUAGUGAAACCAUUGACUUCUCACUUUUCCCCAAUCUAGAGGAACUGAUUCUUGUAGAUUGCACAAGCUUGAAGAAUGUUCAUGAAUCCAUUGGAAACCUGGAGAGACUCGUGUACUUGAAUAUGAAGGAUUGCAAGAAUCUUAGGAUGUUUCCGAAGAACAUGUGUAUGCUUAAAUCACUUGAAACCCUCAUUUUAUCUGGUUGCUCAAAUCUUGAUGAGUUUCCAGUGGAGAUGAUGAAGAAGAUGGAGUCUCUGAAAGUUCUUGAGACAGAUGGAAUUCCAAUAAGUGAAUUGUGGCAAGAAAGAAGUUCAACUAUCUUGAGUUCUUUUCCAUGCUUUUUAGUAGAGUUAAGUCUGAAGGGGUGCAAUCUUUCUGAUGAUGUCCUUCCUACGGAUUUAAGUAAUCUAUCCCUCUUGCGAAAACUACAUUUAGAUGAGAAUCCAAUUUGCAGUCUGCCAGUUUUCAUUAAAGGUUUGAAAAGGCUCGAUGAACUCUCUUUCAAGGGUUGUGAUAGGCUCGAAUCGCUUGUGGGGUUGCCGGAAGUACACCAAAUUAUAAUUGUAGCCGAAUGCAUAUCAUUAAAAAAAAUAACAUCUCAUUCCCCUAAGGAAUUGUGUUCAAUAUGUACGGAUCAGAACUUGAAUCUUUUUGAGUGCUCAUGGUGUUACAAAAUAGAGCUUAUUGAUACAGUUGAUGUGGAAAUGAUCAAACUUUUGGGCUUGUGCAACUUGGAAUCCAUGCCAGCUGUUCGAAUGCAUUAUCCAAAAGAGUUCCAACAGGAACUUGAAACUUUCAGAGAGGUCCCAGUCCAGGUGCGCCUCUCUUUCUCUCUCUCUCUCUCUCUCUUAAGUCUUAAAUAUAUAAAAUGGGAAAGAAAUGACUGACUAAUGUUGUGAUGACUAUGGCAAAUACAUAGGGACUGUAUCAUCAUGGUAUAUUCAGCACCUUUUUUGUUGGGAAUGAUGUUUCAGGCCGGUUCAGCUUUAAAAGUACCAAGUCAUCGAUAUCUUUUAUUGUCCCUUUACUACAUGCUAGUCACAGAAUUCGAGGCUUGAACAUCUUUGCUACCUAUGCAAAGGAAAAUUGGAAUUUUCUUAAUGAUUCUAGUAUGGCUCCAAUAACUAUCAAAGUGAGAAACAAGCAAGGGUCUGGAGUGGAUCUACAGCCCAUUAUUCCAUGGUGUCCCAGGUCGUGGAGAAGAUAUGAUAUGGUUGAGCCAUUGGAAGAUGGAGAAUAAAACAAUAUUUCAAUGUGGAGAUGAAGUGGUGGUUUGGGUAAUAAUCGAACCACGUGACUUUUGGGUAAAGGAGUUUGGUGUCGAGCUUGUGCAAGAGCACCAAGACAAGAUGAGUACCCAACACAACACCAAAUCAGAUUAUCCAUUUAUUAUCGGUGGAUAUUCGCGGAAUUGGACGAGCAGACGGAGAAUAUACUUCCAUGGCAAUUAUAGCGCAGAUGAUAUUGACGAGAUUGAUAUGCUCACCAUGGACUCUGAUGAAGAAGACACAAGUAUGUUGUGUUGUUGUAUUGCAUUGAAUUAUACUCCAUCCAAACACUUCCAGGUGUGUUCGUAUUCAUUUCAAAAAGUUUCCAAUAAAUUUUAUGUUAUUUGUAUGUUUUUCAGACAAAGAAGGGCAAGAAGAUGAACCUGAUUACAUAGUUGCAAAGACGAGGGCUGCUAGCAAUAACUGCAGCCUGAGAGGCUGGAAGGUGCGCCUUAUAGCUGUCGGCUUCUUUUUCGCACUUGCUCUAGUAGGUUGGUCCUCCAUCUCCCAAAAAAAGAAGCGACACAUGUCCACAAGCCCACCAUGAGUUUGUAAUUUGACUUGAUAUAGAUAUGUCUUUGCAUUCCUUGCUGUCAAGAUGUUUUCUACCUUCAAAAUUUCAGGUUCAGAGCUAAGUACUCUUAACCGUUUGAGAUAUAAAAAUCCCUUGCAACUAGAUACCGAAGUUCAAAUGUGUUCAACGCCAUCAAAUAUAGCAUAAAAUGCAUCCAGCAUUAGCGAUACUAGCAGAGUAGCAGUAAAUAAGUAAAACAAAAAAAAUGCUUCUACACAUGGUAAGGGAAGGACUUUGACAUAGGUAUUUUUUUUUUGGGGGGGGGGGUGGGUGGGGAUUAUGUCGGCACAGGGGAAAACAAAAACAUCCUAUCUGCUUAUAAAUAACAAAGUUACAAAUCUUAAUUGUCGUUUACAACAAAAUCAUUCUUAAAGACUCGGCUCCCCAUUGAAAUUGUGUAAAUUGCAUAAAUAUCAAUACAACAGAUAUUAGACAGAAUAAUAUAUAUCAAAUAAAUUAACAACAGGCAAUUUCUUAGCCUGAGAUCCAAGGACUUUACAACUGGUUCAGCCUUGCAUCGCUACUAAACUACAGAAUCAAUCUAAGCAAGCACAUUGGCUCCAGUCAAUUGAUUUAAAAGAGUACUCUUGCCAGCAUUGGUGUACCCAACCUUGUUUCUCAGCCCAACAUGCACAAAAUCAACACCGUGUAGAAAACUAAAAACCACCACCAAAUAAAUGUGAAUUCGACAACGUCAACGUAUUUACUUACCAAAGAUACUAUAGGUACCGAAAGGUGGUGAUUACGAUACUGCUUUCUAUGCUUUCGGACAGAUUCUAACUCCUUGACAACACGAUCUAGUAUUACAGACAUUUUUACUGUCAAAUCAAUUUCCAGACAAAAAUCUACGGUUGUCAAGGAAGUAUAGGAGGAACGGCCAUAGUCUUUGGAGCCAUGAAAUUUACUGUCUUCUCAUGAACAUUGUACCUCCAAAAGCAUGAUGCAAUAAGCAUUCAAUAAUCUGACCUAGUUUGCUCAACAGAUGCUCCAAGAUAUUCCAAAACAAAGUCAUAGCAUUUUCACAUAGGGAACCGAAGAAUCUAUUGAUACCUUAUCUUGCAACUCUUAAGAGGCUCUUCUGUCAACAAUCUUCCUCUUCUAAGCAUGCAACUUUUUAAAGAAUAAAAGGUUUGUCUCUGCGAAUAAUCAAGUUCCAAGCCCACUAUUGAAAAUCAUGUUCAUCCACUCUACACUUCCAAAGCAGCAAACUAACAAUUUCAAAAGCUUUAAAUGCAAUCUGAAUACAUGGCAAGUAGGGGUAAACAUGUGAACAGAAAAAUCAGUGAACAUAAUCAAAUCGAAUAAGUCAAUUUUGGCCGAGAUUGAAAUGAAAAAAACAAGGAAAUGCUUUGUCUAUCGAUUUGUUUAUGAAAAUGGCUAUUCUACAAGAUACAGCAUGACAGGUCUUAGCUAGAACAAGUAACCGGCAUGGAAAUGCUUUAUGAAGCAAGAAUAUGAACUCAAGAGCUUUGUGCCAGAGAGACUUCAGAAAAAUGAAAAAAAAAAAUAUAAAAUAUGGGUAAGAAUAAACAUCGAUCAGACAAUAAUUCACGUAUAAAUCAUUUUUUCAACUUUAAAGUGGUGGCUUAAAAAGAAGCUUUAAACAAGUAGCAAUAAUUUCAUAUUGAAAAAUAAAACCUAUUUCAUGGAUAUUACAAGAGCAUUUAUUUUGAAAAACACACCUUUUGGUUCUUCGCUGCCUGACUUUUAAGAAGAUCUUUGUCCUUGUGACGAUUCAGAUUCUUUAAAAUAUCUUUGCAACGGAAUAAACAAAACCAAUCUAGGCCAAAAUUGACUUAUUCGAUUUGAUUAUGUUUACUGAUUUUUCUGUUCACAUGUUUACCCCUACUUGCCAUGUAGUUUUCGGGGUGUUAGAGCAUAGUGCUCUUCUCUUAACACACAAGUUUUGAUUUUAUUCUUCGUAAAUUAAGAGACCGUUUGAUAAUCAUUUCGUUUUCAGUUUAAAAAAUAUAAAAAACUAAAUGGAGUUUUCAAAAUUUGGCCUAGAAUUUUCGCUUUUGAUUUUUAAUUUUAAUUUUUUUUAAAACAACUGAAAACUAAAAAUAAUUACAAAAGGAAAUUUUCAGUUUUAAAUUUUCCAAAAAGUAAAAACUGAAAACUCUAAACUAUAGACUAAAAAUUAAAAAGUGAAAUCGAAAUGGGCUUUCAACGAAAUUGAAAAAAGACUGGGCUGAAUUAGUGAAUUCAAAGCAGGGCUUAUUAACUCUACGAGGCCCAAUGGAUCCGCAUAAAUAUUUAUCGAUAUUUUUACGCUACGAGACUCAAUGGAUCUGUAUAAAUAUUUUUUUUUUUUACAAACGAUAUUAUUUAUAUGGGCUUAACCUUAAAAUGAGCUAACAAUAAUGUGGUUCAAAUUUGCUUUUGACGAGAAUCGAACAUAAAACUUCUUACUUACAAAUGAAAAGAAAUACCACUAAAUCGUAGUCUGAGUGGCUCGUUAUUUUAUUUUAUAUUUUAAUAAAAAAGAAAGAAAGCAAUGAAAAGCUGUACAUAAACUAAAUACAAAAAGGAAUGAAAUGAAGAAGAGUGGGAGACGAACGUUUAAUUCAAGAUAAAGAAAGAAAGGUAAUCGCACCACGACGGCGGCGACGUGGCGGUCAUUUAACGGAAAAUAACAGACAAAUCAGCCUCCAGAUCAAGUCUUGAAGCACAACUCUGAAAAAUCGAGACUACCUACAGCUGAGCUCCGACCAACCGUUGAUGGAUGCAAUCCGGAAGCUCAGAGAUCAGGUCGCCAAGCAACAGCAGGUACUCUCUCUCUUGUUUGAUUCCGAAUUUGUAUUUCUGUAUGGAUUUUGAUACGAGCAUAAUCUGCGUUGAUUGCGAGAUACUAAGAUUGCUUAAUGAAAUGAUAUUUAUAUAAUUGUUCGAAUUGCAUUGGAUCGAUUCGAGUAGAAUUUCACUAUUUCUGAGCUGUUUGGGGCUGUGUUAGAGUGCAAUGUUGCUGAAUUUCUGAAAUUUUGAGCUAGGUGUUGCUGAUUACUUAUCGAUUUUCGGAUUUAAUUGGAUGCUUAAUUUACAUUUUCGGAAAACUUCAAGCGAAAAUGGCAUAUAAUUCAACGUUCUAUGCCUCAUUAAUGCAUAAGAGUUAGUCGAAGCUUGAUCGAGUUUGCUUUUGAUUAUUUUGUGAACACCGUCAGGCUGUGUUCAAACAAUUUUCUGGUGGCAUAUAUGGGGGAUCGGAUAAUGUUGCCUCGGAUGAAAAUGAAUUUCAACAGCAUCAGAAACUCGAGAAGCUGUACAUAUCAACUCGUGCUGCCAAGGUUGCUACGCUUAUUUUUGUCUGUGCUUUAAACGAGCAUCACGUUAGUUGUGUUACCUAUCGUUUUUUGCUUCUUCUUUAACAGCAUUACCAAAAGGAAAUUGUCCGCGGAGUGGAAGGUUACAUUGUGGCCGGUUCAAAGCACGUUGAAAUAGGUAUGUUGCUUGAAAUGUGUUGUCUUUUCUUGGGAGUUUGGAUAUGAAUUCAUGUUGGUUUUAUCAGUUGGUAUACAUGAUACUUUUUCAACAGGUACCAGGCUAUCAGAAGAUAGCAGGAAAUAUGGUUCUGAAAAGACUUGCACCAGUGGUAACACAUUGUCCAGAGCUGCACUGAGUUUUGGAAGAGCUCGGGCCCAAAUGGAAAAAGAGUGUGGAGUUCUACUUAAAGCUCUUGGCACACAGGUUUAAGUCAAAUUAUUACUAACAAAGCUCAACAACAACAACAACAACAACAACAACAAAGCCUUUUCUCACUAAGUGGGGUCGGCUAUAUGAAUCCUAGAACGCCAUUGCGCUCGGUUUUGUGUCAUGUCCUCCGUUAGAUCCAACUACUCUAAGUCUUUUAGGUCUUCCUCUACCCCUUCGGCCCUGAACCUCUGUCCUAUAGUCACAUCUUCGAACCAGAGCGUCAGUAGGCCUUCUUUGCACAUGUCCAAAUCACCGGAACCGAUUUUCUCUCAUCUUUCCUUCAAUUUUGGCUACUCCUACUUUACCUCAGAUAUCCUCAUUCCCAAUCUUAUCCUUUCUCGUGUGCCCACACAUCCAACGAAGCAUCCUCAUCUCCGCCACACCCAUUUUGUGUACGUGUUGAUGCUUCACCGCCCAACAUUCUGUGCCAUACAACAUCGCUGGCCUUAUUGCCGUCCUAUAAAAUUUUCCCUUGAGCUUCAGUGACCUAUGACGGUCACACAACACGCCGGAUGCACUCUUACACUUCAUCCAUCCAGCUUGUAUUCUAUAGUUGAGAUAUCCAUCUAAUUCUCCGUUCUCUUGCACGAUAGAUCCUAGGUAGCGAAAACGGUCGCUUUUUGUGAUCUUCGCUAGAUUGCUCCGGUCAUUAGUGUGGAUAAGUAUAUAAAUGGAUAGAGACAGGAAAGCAAACACAAGAUGUACGUGGUUCACCCAGAUUGGCUACGUCCACGGAAUAGAGAAGUUCUCAUUAAUUGUGAAGGGUUUACACAAGUACAUAGGUUCAAGCUCUCCUUUAGUGAGUACAAGUGAAUGAUUUAGUACAAAUGACAUUAGGAAAUAUUGUGGGAGAAUGAUCUCGUAAUCACGAAACUUCUAAGUAUCGGAGUGCGGUAUCGUCUUGACUUGCCUUAUCUGUCUCAUAGGUAGAUGUGGCAUCUUCUUUGGAAGUACUCUUCCUCCAUUAGGGGUGGUAUCUUUAACUGGUGGAGAUGCACAAGGUAAUGUAUCAAUUUCACUUGAAGCUUACUUGUAGUUUCAGGCUUGGUCAAGCGCGAUACAAACCAUGUAGUAGGAGUCCCCCAAGUCGCCGAGCUAGAGGAUCUGCUGAAAGAGGUGACAGACAAGGUAAGCAAUCAGAGCUCCGGCUGAUUGUUCACAUUCUCCCUAUCUUGCAGGCAGCAUGAAGGAUAAAGAGAAGAACAUGAGAAGAGAUGAUAUGGGAUACUUUUGCUUUUGAAGAAGUAACUUUCCACAGGCUUAUUCUUGAACUGAGCUGGAGGGUUUUCUGGUUUCCUCCAGAGUAUAAGGCCGACUGAAGAAUUUGAGGGUCAAAACAAGUCCAUCAAAUCUAGAGUACGUUCGACCCUGCUGAUAUGGGAUACUUUUGCUUUGACAGAGUAAUGGAUGUAUCGGCACGUGUGCUGUUUCGCUUGUCUCCACAUGCUUCCUUGUAUCCUUCUCCCUUGCCCUAUCUGUUCCUCAGGCAGAGAUGCGGUAUCUUCCCUGGAAGCAUAAGAUGUUGAAGAUGAGUACUUGAGAGCAAUGGCAGGUAAGUAAUCAGGUAAGGGGUUCCAGGCAGUCAGUUCCUGGCUGGAAGCUUGAUUCCAAGUGCUGACUGAUUGCUCUCUUUCUCCUUGUCUUGCAGAUAAGAACAAGGCCAAAGGAAAAGACAGGGAAAAAAGCAUGAUAUGGAGAUACUCUUGCUUUUAACCCUGAUGAUAUGAGAUAUUCUUGCUCUAGUAUAGCUUGUUUGCAGAGGAUAUUAUCGGGGGGAAAGAAAGCUGAAUAUUUCGAAAGGCUUCGUUGGGAGUGCCCUCUCAGAUAUGAGGAAGGGUUGAGCAUUUUUGCAGGUCUGCCUGUCCGUUGGGAAUGGAGGUCGACAUAUAUAGGAAUCUCCUUAACAACAAGUAGUAAUGCUAUUCCUUUACCCUACUUGGUCAUAGCACGGUAGUGGGAGCUGCCAGCUUCACAUGUUUUAACUCUGUCAGAGCACUUUGAAAAAGUGGUCUGUGGUAUCUGGAAAUGUGAUGUUGCGUGUGAAGAUUACAGACAGCUUUAUCCAAGGAGAUCCGGCUCUUGAAGUUGGGAAAGUGUUGCCUCUUCGGUUUUCGAACAAGCAAUCCUAUCGGGGAUCUGGCUCUCGAGAUUCGGAGAACGAUGCCUCUUCGAUUUUUGAGAAAGCAAUCAUGCUGGGGGUCUGGCUCUCGAGAUUUGGAGAGCGGUGUCUCUUCGAUUUUUGAGAAAGUAAUCAUGUUGGGAGUCUGGCUCUCGAGAUUCGGAGGGCGGUGCCUCUUCGAUUUUGGAGCAAGCAAACUUGUUGGGAGUGUUUUCUCGAAUGUGAGUAAAGGUUGGGCAUGUUUGCUAGUCUACCUUGCCACGAAGCACAGAGGUUGACACAUAGGGACUUUCCAAUUAUCCAGCAAUGGUACUGUUCCUUUACCCUCUCUUCGAUUUUUGAGAAAGUAGUCAUGUUGGGAGUCUGGCUCUCGAGAUUCGGAAGGACGGUGCCUCUUCGAUUUUGGAGCAAGCAAUCUUGUUGGGAGUGUUUUCUCGAAUGUGAGUAAAGGUUGGGCAUGUUUGCUAGUCUACCUUGCCACGAAGCACAGAGGUUGACACACAGGGACUUUCCAAUUAUCCAGCAGUGGUACUGUUCCUUUACCCUUGUGGGUAAUAAUAUGGUAGCUAGACCUUCAAAAUUUAUGUGUCUAAACUUUGUUAGUGCUGUUUCUUUGCUAUUGUUUUUACCCUUCUUGGUCAGAGCGAUGUAGUGGGAGCUGCAAGCUUCACGUGCUCAACUUUGGCAGAGAACUUUGGCAAAGUUAUCUGUGGUACCCAUGAGCUACUGUUGCGUGUGGGAAGUGGGUGAUUGAACAGUAAGAUUCAUGUGCUUUCUACUUCACCAGAAGUCUUCGACAGAAUGCCCAUAAUUUCCGCAAAGCUGAGUGUGCGUGUGACAGGUGCUGACAAGGCUGGAAAAGUAGGUGCCUCUUCGAUUUCUGAGAUCGGCCCUCGUGGUCUCUGAGCAGCCCAGCUUUUGAGAAAGCAAGCGCCUCUUCGAUUUCUGAGAUCGGCCUUCGUGGUCUUUGAGCAACCCAGCUUUUGAGAAAGCAAACGCCUCUUCGAUUUCUGAGAUCGACCCUCGUGGUCUCUGAGCAGCCCAGCUUUUGAGAAAGCAAACGCCUCUUCGAUUUCUGAGCAGGCGCCUUCUUCGAUUUCUGAAGCUCCGUCGAGUGCAGAUUUUUAUAGGGGCUGGCAUUAAGUUCCAAAGCACACUUGAAUCUCCACCAGUAGAAGCUCCAUUCUUGCACUUCUAAGAUCUUGAUUUGUCCGACCUCUUCUCUCUUCAACACCUUUGAAAAUGUCUGGCCCCUCCGACCGUCGUUUUUGACUUGAACCUUGUUGAAGAGGCAGCCACGCCUUCUCCAGACAACAUAUGGCGCCCAUCAUUCGUCUCCCCUACUGGUCCUCUUACCGUUGGGGAUUCCGUGAUGAAGAAUGAUAUGACCGCUGCGGUGGUGGCCAGGAACCUUCUCACUCCCAAAGAUAACAGACUACUUUCCAAACGGUCUGAUGAGUUAGCUGUUAAGGAUUCUCUGGCUCUCAGUGUUCAGUGUGCAGGUUCUGUGUGUCUAAUAUGGCCCAACGCCUAUUUGCUCGAACCCGCCAAGUUGAAUCAUUGGCGGCUGAAGUGAUGAGUCUCAAACAGGAGAUUAGAGGGCUCAAGCAUGAGAAUAAACAGUUGCACCGGCUCGCACAUGACUAUGCUACAAACAUGAAGAGGAAGCUUGACCAGAUGAAGGAAUCUGAUGGUCAGGUUUUACUUGAUCAUCAGAGAUUUGUGGGUUUGUUCCAAAGGCAUUUAUUGCCUUCGUCUUCUGGGGCUGUACCGCGUAAUGAAGCUCCAAAUGAUCAACCUCUGAUGCCUCCUCCUUCUAGGGUUCUGUCCAGUACUGAGGCUCCGAAUGAUCCCCCUCCGGUGCCUUCUCUUUCUGGGGCUCUACCGACUGCUGAGACUUCUCCUAAGCAACCUUUGUGAAGGCUCCCUCUUGUUUGUUUAUUUUGACUCAUGUAUAUGUACAUAUUUGUAGCUUAUCGGGGAUAUCAAUAAAUAAGCUUUCCUUCAUUUCAACGUAUUGUGUUAAAUACACCAAAGCCUUCUUCGCUAAGUUCUUUGAAUUUUCUUUUGUUGAAGCUUUGUGAGUGGAGCAUGUAGGUUGAGGUAGUGUUCCCUUAAUUUUCCGAGUGAGGAAAACUUCUCGGUUGGAGACUUGGAAAAUCCAAGUCACUGAGUGGGAUCGGCUAUAUGAAUCUUAGAACGCCAUUGUGCUCGGUCCUGUGUCAUGUCCUUCGUUAGAUCCAAGUACUCUAAGUCUUUUCUUAGAGUCUCUUCCAAAGUUUUCCUAGGUCUUCCUCUACCCCUUCGGCCCUGAACCUCUGUCCCAUAGUCGCAUCUUCUAAUCGGAGCGUCAGUAGGCCUUCUUUGCACAUGUCCAAACCACCGUAACCGAUUUUCUCUCAUCUUUCCUUCAAUUUCGGCUACUCCUACUUUACCCCGGAUAUCCUCAUUCCUAAUCUUAUCCUUUCUCGUGUGCCCACACAUCCAACGAAGCAUCCUCAUCUCCGCUACACCCAUUUUUGUGUACGUGUUGAUGCUUCACCGCCCAACAUUCUGUGCCAUACAGCAUCGCCGGCCUUAUUGCCGUCCUAUAAAAUUUUCCCUUGAGCUUCAGUGGCAUACGGCGGUCACACAACACGCCGGAUGCACUCUUCCACUUCAUCCAUCCAGCUUGUAUUCUAUGGUUGAGAUCUCCAUCUAAUUCUCCGUUCUUUUGCAAGAUAGAUCCUAGGUAACGAAAACGGUCGCUCUUUGGUAUUUCUUGAUCUCCGAUCCUCACCCCUAACUCGUUUUGGCCUCCAUUUGCACUGAACUUGCACUCCAUAUAUUCUGUCUUUGAUCGGCUUAGGCGAAGACCUUUAGAUUCCAACACUUCUCUCCAAAGGUUAAGCUUUGCAUUUACCCCUUCCUGAGUUUCAUCUAUCAACACUAUAUCGUCUGCGAAAAGCAUACACCAAGGAAUAUCAUCUUGAAUAUGUCCUGUUAACUCAUCCAUUACCAACGCAAAAAGGUAAGGACUUAAGGAUGAGCCUUGAUGUAAUCCUACAGUUAUGGGAAAGCUUUCGGUUUGUCCUUCAUGAGUUCUUACGGCAGUCUUUGCUCCUUCAUACAUAUCCUUUAUAGCUUGGAUAUAUAUGCUACUCGUACUCCUUUCUUCUCUAAAAUCCUCCAAGAAUGUCUCUUGGGACCCUAUCAUACGCUUUUUCCAAAUCUAUAAAGACCAUGUGUAAAUCCUUUUUCCCAUCUCUAUAUAUCUUUCCAUCAAUCUUCGUAAGAGAUAGAUUGCCUCCAUGGUUGAGCGCCCUGGCAUGAACCCGAAUUGGUUGUCCGAAACCCGUGUCUCUUGCCUCAAUCUAUGCUCAAUGACUCUCUCCCAGAGCUUCAUUGUAUGACUCAUUAGCUUAAUACCCCUAUAGUUCAUGCAAUUUUGUACGUCGCCCUUAUUCUUGUAGAUAGGCACCAAAGUGCUCGUUCGCCACUCAUUUGGCAUCUUCUUCGUUUUCAAAAUCCUAUUGAAAAGGUCAGUGAGCCAUGUUAUACCUGUCUCUCCCAAAACUUUCCACACUUCGAUUGGUAUAUAUCGUCUGGGCCUAUUGCUUUUCUAUGCUUCAUCUUCUUCAAAGCUACAACCACUUCUUCCUUCCGGAUUCGACGAUAAAAAGAGUAGUUUCUACACUCUUCUGAGUUACUCAACUCCCCUAAAGAAGCACUCCUUUCAUGUCCUUCAUUGAAAAGAUUAUGAAAAUAACCUCUCCAUCUGUCUUUAACCGCGUUCUCUGUAGCAAGAACCUUUCCAUCCUCAUCCUUGAUGCACCUCACUUGGUUUAGGUCCCUUGUCUUCUUUUCCCUUGCUCUAGCUAGUUUAUAGAUAUCCAACUCUCCUUCUUUGGUAUCUAGUCGUUUAUACAUAUCGUCGUAAGCCGCUAACUUAGCUUCUCUCACAGCUUUCUUCGCCUCUUGCUUCGCUUUUCUAUACCUUUCACCAUUUUCAUCGGUCCUAUCCUUGUAUAAGGCUUUACAACAUUCCUUCUUAGCCUUCACCUUUGUUUGUACCUCCUCAUUCCACCACCAAGAUUCCUUUUGGUGUGGGGCAAAGCCCUUGGACUCUCCUAAUACCUCUUUUGCUACUUUUCGGAAUACAACUAGCCAUGGAAUCCCACAUUUGGCUAGCUUCCCCCUCUCUAUCCCACACACACUGGGUGAUUACUUUCUCUUUGAAAAUGGACUUGUUUUUUUCUUCUUUUAGAUUCCACCAUCUAGUCCUUGGGCACUUCCAAGUCUUGUUCUUUUGUCUCACUCUUUUGAUAUGUACAUCCAUCACCAACAAGCGAUGUUGAUUAGCCACGCUCUCUCCUGGUAUAUAACUUUGCAAUCCUUACAAGUUAUACGAUCCCCUUUCCUCAUUAGAAGAAAAUCUAUUUGUGUUUUUGACGACCCACUCUUGUAGGUGAUCACAUGUUCUUCUCUCUUCUUAAAGAAGGUGUUGGCUAAGAAAGAGAUCAUAUGCCAUUGCAAAAUCCAAGAUAGCUUCCCCAUCCUCGUUUCUCUCCCCAAAACCAUGGCCACCAUGAAAACCUCCAUAGUUGCCUGUCUCCCUGCCCACGUGUCCAUUUAAAUCUCCUCCUAUAAAUAACUUCUCCGUCUGAGCAAUUCCUUGCACCAAGUCUCCAAGGUCUUCCCAAAAUUUCUCCUUCGAACUCGUAUCCAACCCUACUUGAGGUGCGUACGCACUAAUCACAUUGAUAAGUUCUUGUCCUAUUACAAUCUUGAUUGCCAUGAUUCUAUCUCCUACCCUCUUGACAUCUACAACAUCUUGUGUCAAGGUCUUGUCCACGAUGAUGCCAACACCGUUUCUCGUUCUAUUUGUGCCCGAAUACCAAAGUUUAAACCCUGAGUUUUCUAGAUCCUUUGCCUUACUACCAACCCACUUAGUUUCUUGUAGGCACAUAAUAUUUAUCCUUCUCCUCACCAUAACUUCCACUACUUCCAUAGAUUUUCCCGUUAAGGUUCCUAUAUUCCACGUUCCUAAACGCAUUUUGCUCUCUUGAACUCUACCCUUCUGUCCUAACUUCUUCACCCUCCCCCGUUUAAUAAGAUCAAAGUACUUCUUUUGUGUGUCCCGUGUAAAGUUGAUAGGAGCAUAUGCUCCCAAACAACUUUGAGUGGAGUCGUUCGAAAAGAAGUUUCUAUGGCCCCCUUGCUCAUUUAACACUGCAUCCGGGUGCCGAUGGAGAUACAGUGACCCUUGCUCACUUAUCACUGUGCUCGGGCCACACAGCGCGCCACUUACGGGUGACGCCCUAGCUUUAGCGCGAUUUUGUUCUGGAUUCAUUUUCAUAAGGAUUCGACGUGAUCAUGGAGUGCCGGCUGUCGACUACCUGACGUCCUCCCCCUCCUCCUUUAUCCGGGCUUGGGACCGGCAAUGUAACAAAGCUCAUUAAGUAAAAUUCAAAUAUUGCCUGGGCCGGCUUCAUACAAAUGGAAUUUCAACUGACUAAUUUUCGUGUGCAUUUGAUCAUUUCGAAAGAAAUUUACAGUAAAAAUUGUUUCCAUUUUCACGUGUGGUUCAAGAACUGGACUACUUUUUGUGUUAUUAUGCAUCAUAUGACAAACUGGUUCACCGUUUCUUUCUAUAGGUUUGCAUAAUAACUCCUUCUGUGCUUAUCAAUUUGCCUGUGUAGGUUGCAGAGCCUUUAAGAGCAAUGAUAGUGGGAGCGCCCUUGGAGGAUGCUUGACAUCUUGCUCAACAAUAUGCUAGAAUGCGGCAAGAAGCUGAAGCUCAGGUAUAUGCAGUUUCUUCUGUUUCCUCCCAAUUUUAUACUACAGUGAUUUUACAUGUUACGUGGUGAUCGUACAUUUCUUCGUUUAACUUUUUUUGUUUUCUUUUAAAAGUGUUUGUUCAUUUUGAGACAAUCAUGCAUUGGUAUUCAUAGAGAACGCAAAAUCUUAAGAUGUUUAAUGUAAACUUGUUAAGAUUGCUUUAUUACUUGAAGCUUUGUUGUAAUUUGGUUUUUGGUUUUUUUUUUAUUACUCCUUCAGAUUUGUCUAUAUAUACUAACUUGCACCGGGAUUCUGCAGGUAAUGCUGACAUUAUCAUGAAACUAGAAGCUGCUGAAGCCAAGCUUCAGGAGCUGCAGUCUACCGUUGCAAUAUUGGGAAAAGAAGCUAGUGCAGCUAUGGCUGCUGUUGAAGGUCAACAACAAAGAUUGACUCUUCAGCAGCUUCUUGCAAUGGUAAAGGAUUGCCUCCCCUUUUUGUUUAAGUAUGAAGACCUUGGCCUGUUCUAGUUACAAGACUGAAAAGGAAAUUAAUUUUGUAAAUUUGUCCUUUUUCAUCCCCAUUCAAGGUGGAAGCAGAGCGCAACUAUCAUCGGAACGUUCUUCAGAUACUUGAUCAGCUUGAAGGCGAGGUAUGAAAUAUCCUAAAGUCUUCCUUUCAGCAUGACAAUUUCGUAUCCCAAUUCAUUUGGCUCUAUAUUAUUCUAUUGUCUUGCUACUAAAAGCAGAGAUCAUUGACACUAUUUGUUGGGACAGAUUUUGGCAGAAAAGCAGCAAAUUGAAGCAUCGCAUAGUCCACCUACAGAGGACACUAUGCCUCCACUACCAUCGUAUGAGGAUCUCAGCCGUAGCUUUGCUUCUGAAACCUAUGAUGAAUUGACAGAGUUGAGGGACUCUUUCUUUGGAGGGGUAUCUUUAUGCUAAUGUUGUUGUAUCCAAGUUUUAGUCUGUUCGACUCUUUAGUUUCUAAUAACUGUUUCUUUUCACCUACCGCAGGUUAUGUACACCUUCCACGCUGUAACUGAUGUGGAGUUAAGUUUGUCAUUCGGGGAUUACAUUGUGGUCCGGAAGGUUCUGUCGUCUUUCCUGCUUGCAUGCUUUCAUCUUAUAUUCAUGUUCGGAUUUAUUUCUUUCGUAUUGAGGUUAAAUUUUCAUGUUCAGAGACGUCCACUCAGGUAUGUUCGUCAAUGCAUAUGCAUUAGCACACCACCGAGUGCAUUAGAAUAUGGAUUUCAGUUUUGGAUGCUUCAUGCAUUAAUGUAGUUUGUGUGGUUUUGGUUAUUGCUGCCGCUGAGCGUGAGUGGCUUUCUGUAGUUGCUGAGAGUUAUAUUGUGAGCAUAAUUCAUACAGCAGCUUUCAUAUACGGCACAUGUAGUCGGCAGCACUGCAUUUAGAAAGAGAGAGUUAUAUUUUCUUCACUGUUUAUUCAAAACUUAUAUGUUGCAUGUUCUGGCUUUUAAAGUGAGUCGGCAUCAGAGUUUUUAUUUGAGAAAAAUCAGUUUUGUGUCCAUGUGUUUUCAAAGAAAAUAUUUUAGUUUUUAAUCACUGAUUUUUCAUUGUGCUUCAAUUAGAAAUUAAUUAUGAGAAUCUGCCUUGUGAUUUUCGUAAUUGGUUGAUUCAAAAAAUCUUUACAUUUCAUACAUUUUGCAUGAUCUCGUUAGUAUCUUGCAAAGUUCAAUGACACAGUGAUUGACGGUCGCGUUAGUGUCGUGCCACUUUCACUUGAAAGCUGAAGAGAGAUCGAGUAGCAAAGCGCAAUGAAAAAAAUUGCAUACUAGUAUGUGGGCAGUGGCGGAUCCAGGAUUUUAAACUCGGGGGGUCCCAAUAAUAAAUUUCAAAAAAAUUAUAGACAAAAAUAACAUUAAAAAGUUAAAUAUAAUACAUUUCAUUCAAAAUCAUACGCAAAACAACAUUACAAGCUAUAAAAUCACAAAACAACAAAUCGUCGUUUUUUCUUUGCAUGCAAAGUGUAUGGGAACUCAUGCUUUGUAGGCCUACAAGGUCCCAUUUGCAAAUAUGUUCUUUGAACCUCAUCUUGAAUAUUAGAAGAAUAGUCCUUCAUUCGAAUUCUUUUUCUUGGGUCUCUCUCAAGAUUAUUAAAAUCAACGUCACACUCAUUUUGUCUUGAGCUCGAACUACCAGAACAAAUAAAUGGUGCUAUUGGCUUUGGAAGGAAAAAUCUUUCCAUAUUUCUUAUUUGUAAACUACAUAUUUAAGCAAAAACAGAAAACAUAUACCGAUUAACCAAUAAACAAAAAUUCCAUCUAAAUUCCAAUGAUAAAAUGAGUAUACAAACAUAAAACAUAUCAACAAUCAUAUCAAUAAUAGACUAAAAAUCUCCAUCAAUAUCUAAUAUAAUUUAAUUGAGAUUAGAUUAGAAUUCUAAAAAACUUAAUUGAAUUUUGAACCAAAUAGUGGUGGAGUGGAGAAUUAAAACAAGUGGAUGUAUGAUAUUGGACUUACGUAAUUAUAAUAUGGGAUUGGGUCAUGGGUGAGAUUAGAAAUUUAGGGUUUUGAAAUGGGGGGAAAGAGGGAACCAAAUAAUAGGGAAUUGGGGGAAAAGCAGCAGGGAAAGAGAGAACUUUGGGGAAGGGCUCAGGGGGGCUGGGCUUUAAAAUUAAAGCAAUAUUGAGUCAUCAUGCAUGGCAAACGACAACGUUUGUCUACCUUUUUGUUUUUUUAUACUUAAAACAAUGGGCCAAAACACAGCCGUUUUGGACCAAUUGGUAAAAACCCCUAUUUUCUUUCUUCUUCCCGCAGCGUCUUCUUCUUCACUGCUACCUGCAACUGCAACCUGCAACCUGCACAGCAGCUCAAACCUUGUGUUCGAGGGGUCCCCCGGAAAUUUUCUAACAGGGAUUUAGGGUCGCCGAAGGGUCCUAGGACCUCCCAGGUCCCUCUGUAGAUCCGCCACUGUAUGUGGGUCUAGUUAAUGAGUUUUGUAAGUCUUUCUAUACUCAUUUCUCUUAUUAUUUGUCAUGACUUAAGAGUCUGAGGAUUUUCUCAGUGGUGAGUUUUACCUUGUUAAAUCCUACAUCAUAUGUACACAUGUUAUUUGUCUUUUUAUUGCAAAUGUGUAGGAUAAUCUUUCACUUAUUUUCUUAUAGUGAACUCUAUCUUAGACAUUCAUCAACAUAUAGAGUUUACGACAGAGGACUUUUGCUACUAUUAUUCAGUGCAUUGAUUAAUUUGUAAAGCGCUCAUUUAUCCUAAUUAUAAAAUAUAAUGUGUACAAGACAUUAAAAAAAUGGAAGUGUCUUUCAACAGUUUGAAUGUCAUGUAUGGCCAUAUCCUUUAUUUCCACCAUUCUUAUCAACCGAAUGCGGAGAGAUUGUCUUUAUCUCACAAACCCAUAAUGUGGCAAUCGUCCAUUAGAAAGGUAACGUACGUUUUGAAAAUCGUGGCAAAUAUUGAAUGAGUAAUGAUGCCUCUAAAAAUAAAGUAACGAAUAAUCAACAGAAGUAGCAGUACAUCAAGUUGGAUCUUUUUCAAUGUUGAAAUGAAAUAUGAAAGUAGAUCAAGUUGCUAUUAUUCAUCCUUUUUUUUUUUUUAAAUAAACAAUAUUGUUUACAUUAAGAAGAGGAAGAAGUUAGCUAAGUCUUACAAUACGCUAGCAAUAAUAUGGUUAAAAUUCGCAUUUGGUAAUAAUCAAACCUAAGACUUCUCACGUACAAGUGAAGAAAAAUUUCAUUAGACCGUAACAUUAUUCAUCCACUUUUACAUAAUGAAUAAUCAAGAAAAACAUUGCACGGGUCCCCCUUACCACUAGUGGCCAUCACUUCCCUGAGCAAAAGAGAUCUUUCAAAUGGAGGAGGAUUCUUUACCUUCCUAUUUCCAUUCUCUUCCAUUUUCUCAUCUCACACAUUACUUUUUAUCUUAUUAUCUCUAUAAAUAAAUCAAUAUAAAAUGUUGACACACAUUACUUUUUAUCUUAUUAUCUCUAUAAAUAAAUCAAUAUAAAAUGUUGACGUGGUUUAACUGUGACUGUUCCAAUAGAAGGAGAUGGAAAAGUAGAGAUAUUAGGAGGGUAGAGAAUCCUACUUCUUUUCCAAUUGCUUGAUCAAAACAAGCAUUGACUUGGCCGUCCAUUCAUCGAUAACAGGUCCACAUCUCAAUCCAAAUAUAAUGACGUCAAAGGAGAGGGGAAAAUGAGAAGGAAACUUUGGAGGGUAGAGGGAAGGAAAAGGAGAAAGGGAGAAAGGGAGAAAGUAGAAGGGAAAAGUAGAAAGAGAAGAAGGAAAAUGAGAGGAAAUUUCGGAGAAUAGAGAAAAUGAGAAGGAAACUUUGGAGGGUAGAGGGAAGGAAAAGUAGAAAGAGAAGAAGGAAAAUGAGAGGAAAUUACAAGUGCCACAUUAUUAUGCGGUUCUAUCAAGUUUUAAUUUUUGUCUCAUAACCACAUCAUUUUUAGGAAAAUCAAUAUUGGAGUUGAAUAUAUAAACCUUCGAUAUGGUGAUAUUGGAAACAAUAGUUGGUGGGUUGAUUGGUAGAAAUGGUUCCAACAAUUCAAGGACGAGAAAUGAGCAUUGAGCAACGAUCAAAAUAUGUUGUAUUUUAUUACAAAAGAUCUUUGUGCAAUUAAAAAUGCAUUUUAUCACAAAAACAUGAGCAACGAUCAAUAUAAUUGUUAUUUAUAAAAUCACACAUAAAACAAGAAGUAAUCUUUUCUUUUUCUUUUCAUCCCUGCCACUAGCGGCCGACCAUGACUUAAUUAAAGAAACGCUUUUUGGGUUAAUGGAUGGGAACGACCCAUUUUAUAAUUGUUUGUAAAUUUUUCUGGAAGUAGAUGUAAAUGACCCAAUUACAUAUUUCCCCUGCUCACAGACGUUUGCAUUGCACCUAGCAAACACCAGUUUUUUUGUUUAAGCAUCGAUCCACAUCAAUGGCUCUUGUGAGAACAUCUCCAGGAACCUCAUCUGAUUCCAACAAUUUUCGGGGUUAUCGCUACGACGUGUUCUUAAGCUUCAGAGGCGAAGACACUCGCAAGACUUUUACCGACCACCUCUACACAGCCUUGAACAACGCAGGAUUUCUUACGUUCCGAGACGACGAUGAACUUGAGAGAGGAGAAGAUAUAAAGCCAGAACUGCAGAAAGCGAUACAGCAGUCACGAACUUCUGUUGUCGUGUUUUCGAAAGAUUACGCGUCAUCCAGGUGGUGUCUUGAUGAGCUUGUGCUGAUCCUUGAACGCAAGAGGACCACCUCGGACCAUGUAGUUUUACCAGUCUUCUACGAUGUCGAUCCGUCCCACGUGAGGAAGCAGACAGGAAGUGUUGGAAAAGCAUUUGCUAGAAGCCAGAAAAAUCAGUCGUCGGAAAAGGUGGAGGGAUGGAGGAAGGCACUUGCAGAGAUUGCAGACCUAGCAGGCAUGGUCUUAAAAAAUCAAGCUGAUGGGUAACUUUCAUUAUCUCCAUUUCUCUUCUCUUUGUUGGGUCAAUUUGAUGUAUGAUCCGUAGUGACAUAGAUUUUUAUAUAUUUAUUAAUUCAAUCUCAGUAGUGAAUAAUAAUCCCAAUUUAGGUCAACUUAAAGAAAGCACACUCAACUCAACUUAAGGAUUAGUCAUUUUCCAUGUUAAUCUACUGGUUUCCAGGUGCUUAAAUUUUGUUUGAAAGCUGGUGUGGAAAAAAGUUAGGAUGUGAUCUGUUUUGUAUUUGUCUAUAGUUUGUAUAAAUUAUGCGCUGUAUUCUUUUUUUUUUUCAAUUUAAUUUUGUCAGGCAAUCAACAUAUGUUUUAAUUAUCUAAUUUCCCCAAUUCAUUUUUCAUUUUGUUUGCAAAUUCUUAGGUACGAGGCAAAGUUUAUCGAAAAAAUUGUUAAAGUGAUAGAAGACAAGUUAAGUCGUAUGCCAUUGAGUGUUGAACCAAAAUUGAUUGGUAUUCAAUAUCAAGCCGAACGCAUCAAUUUGUGGUUACAAGAUGGAUCAAGUGGUGUUGGUAUAUUUGUUGUGUAUGGCAUGUCUGGAAUCGGGAAGACAACCAUUGCAAAACAUGUUUACAAUUCAAACUUUAGAAGCUUUCAAGGAAGUAGUUUCAUUGAAAAUAUCAAAGAAACAGCAGAUCGACCAAAUGGCUUAGUUCAAAUACAAAUGCAACUUCUUUGUGAUAUUUUGAACGGCAGAGAAGUGAAAAUACACAGUGUUAGUGAGGGAAUAAUUAAGAUUGAAAAGGCCAUAAGCUCUAAAAGAGUUCUACUUGUUCUUGAUGAUGUUGACCAUAUGGACCAAUUAGAUGCAAUCCUAAGGAUGAAAGAUCAGUUUUAUCCUGGAAGUAAGAUACUAAUAACAACUAGGCGUGAAAGGUUGUUAAAGGCUGAUCAAGUUACAGAGGUGCACAGAGUUCAAACUUUGGAUGACAAUGAAUCAUUAAAGCUUUUCAGUUGGCAUGCUUUUGGCCAGGACCAUCCCAUAGAAGAAUACAUGGAGCACUCAAAACAGAUAGUGCAACAUAGUGGCGGACUUCCAUUAGCUCUAAAAGUUUUGGGUUCUUCUUUAUCAGGAGGAAGUAUAGGUGUAUGGGAAAGUGCAUUGGAGAAGCUAAAAGUUAUUCCUGAUGGUGAAAUCAUGAGUAAACUAAGAAUAAGCUAUGAAAGUUUAAAAGAUGACCAUGACCGGAAAUUAUUCCUCCACAUUGCUUGUUUCCUAAUAGGAAGGAACAAAAGCUACAUUGUUAGAAUAUUCGAUGGAUGUGAUUUCUAUACAAUCAUUGGCAUUCAAAAUCUCAUUGAUAGAUGCUUGGUGACACUUGAUGAAUACGGCAAGGUGGAAAUGCAUGACAUGAUUCGUGCUAUGGGAAGAGAAAUUGUUCGCCAAGAAUCAGAAGAGCCUGAGAAACGUAGUAGAUUAUGGCACCAUAAGGAUUCUUUCCAAGUAUUGAGGAAAAAGAAUGUAAGAAACAUGCCUUUUAUGUCUAUAUAUGUAUUUCUUCUUGUGAAAAUUACGCAUAUUAAUGUCUCUUUUUUUUCCUUUAGGGUACAAAAAAAAUCCAAGGUCUUGUCCUGGAUAUGCGUAACCAUCCAGCAAACAGUCCAAUAAACACAAAUGAGAUAGUCUUGGAAACCAAUGCAUUUGCAAGGAUGUGCAAUUUACAACUACUCCAUCUUAGUCAUGUACGACUGGAUGGAUGUUAUGCAGAUUUCCCUACAGGAUUAAGAUGGUUGUGUUGGCUUGAAUUUCCUUUGGAUUCUAUACCAAUUGAUUUUCCUUUGGAGAACGUAAUUGUUCUUGAAAUGCAAUACAGUAGCUUGAGACAAGUAUGCAAAGGAACAAAAGUAUGUUACUCUAUGCAUUUCAAUUCAUUUUCCUUAUUUUGUUAGUUUUUUAUUUGUUGACCAACUCCAUGUGUUAAAAUGAACUACUAUGUUUUCUUUAAUUCGAUGACUAAUUUCUUAUGUUAGAUACUUAUUUCAUUGUUCUUUUUUCUUUUCUUUUUUUCCCUCUGUUUCCACAGUUUCUUCCAUCGUUGAAGAUCCUUGACGUCAGCCAUUCUCAUGGUCUUAGUGAAACCAUUGACUUCUCACGUUCCUCCAAUCUAGAGGAACUAAUUCUUGUAGAUUGCACAAGCCUGGAGAAUGUUCAUGAAUCCAUUGGAAACCUGGAGAGACUCGUGUACUUGAAUAUGAAGGAUUGCAAGAAUCUUAGGAAGCUUCCGAAGAACAUGUGCAAGCUUAAAUCACUUGAAAUACUCAUUUUAUCUGGUUGCUCAAAUCUUGAUGAGGUUCCAGUGGAGAUGAUGAAGAAGAUGGAGUCUCUGAAAGUUCUUGAGACGGAUGGAAUUCCAAUAGGUGAAUUGUGGCCAGAAAGAAGUUCAACUAUCUUGAGUUCUUUUCCGUGCUCUUUGGUAGAGUUAAGUCUGAAGGGGUGCAAUCUUUCUGAUGAUGUCUUUUCUACGGAUUUAAGUGCUCUAUCCUACUUGCGAAGACUACAUUUGGAUGAGAAUCCAAUUUGCAGUCUGCCAGUUUUCAUCAAAGGUUUGAGGAGGAUCGAUGAACUCUCUUUCAAGGGUUGUGAUAGGCUCGAAUCGCUUGUGGGGUUGCCGGAAGUACACCAAAGGCUAAGUAUAAAAGAAUGCAUAUCAUUAAAAAAAAUAACUUUUCAUUCCCCUGGGCAACAUUAUCUAACACGUGUAUUUUGCCAUGACAACCCGAAUCUUGUUGAGUGUGAGUGCUAUUACAAGUUAGAGCCUAUUGAUAGAGUUGAUGUGGAAAUGAUCAAACUUUUGGGCUUGUGCAACUUGGAAUCCAUGCCAGCUGUUCGAAUGCAUCAUCCACUCACAAACUGGGAUCUAAUAGAGGUCCCCGUCCAGGUGCGCCUCUUUUUCUCUCUCUCUCAUAAGUCUUAAAUAUAUAAUGGGAAAGAAAUGACUGAGUAAUGUUGUGAUGACUGUGGCAAAUACAUAGGGACUGUAUCAACAUGGUAUAUUCAGCACCUUUUUUGUUGGGAAUGAGGUUCCAGGCCUGUUCAGCUAUAAAAGUACCAAGUCCUCGAUAUCUUUUAUUGUCCCUUUACUACUUGCUAGUCACAGAAUUCGAGGCUUGAACAUCUUUGCUACCUAUGCAAAGGAAAAUUCAAAUAAUUAUUCUACUAGACCUAAUAUUGGUCCAAUAAUGAUCAAAGUGAGAAACAAGAGUAAGGGUCUGAAGUGGAUCUAUGACCCAUUUUUCUAUGGAAUCCCAAGUGACGGAGAAGAUAUGAUAUGGUUGAGCCAUUGGAAGAUGGAGAAUAAAACAAUAUUACAAUGUGGAGAUGAAGUGGUGGUUUCGGUAAUAACUGGACCACGUGACAUGUUUUGGGUCAAGGAGUUUGGUGUCGAGCUUGUGCAAGAGCACCAAGACAAGAUGAGUACCCAACACAACACCAAAUCUGAUCCUAAUUAUCCAUUUGUUAUUGAUGGAGAUUUGAAGAUGUUUGAGGACAGACCGGGAAAAUACUUCCUUGGCAGUUAUUUUAUAGAAGAAAUUGAUGACAUUGAUAUCCUCACCAUGGACUCUGAUGAAGAAGACACAAGUAUGUUGUGUUGUUGUAUUGCAUUGAAUUAUACUUCAUCCAAACACUUCCAGGUGUGUCCGUAUUCAUUUCAAAAACGUUUCCAAUAAAUUUUAUGUUAUUUGUAUGUUUUUCAGACAAAGAAGGGCAAGAGGAUGAACCUGAUUACACAAUUGCAAAGACGAGGGCUGCUAGCAAUAACUGCAGCCUGAGAGGCUGGAAGGUGCGCCUCACAGCUGUCGGCUUCUUUUUCGCGCUUGCUCUAGUAGGUUGGUCCUCCAUCUCCCAAAAAAAGAAGCGACAAUCGUCCACAAGCCCACCAUGAGUUUGUAAUUUGACUUCAAAUGUGCUUGCUCUAGUAGCUAAGCACUCUUAACCGCUUGAGAUAUAAAAGCCCAUUGCAACUAGAUACUGAACUUCAAAUGUGUUCAACGCCAUCAAAUAUAGCAUAAAAUACAUCCAGCAUUAGGUUCCAAGCCCACUAUUGAAAAUCAUGUUCAUCCACUCUACACAUCCAAGGCAGCAAACUAACUAGGAUACCAGGUUGGGAGGAUACAAUCAUUAACAAUUUCAAAAGCUAUAAAUGCAAUCCGAAUACAUGGCAAGUAGGGGUAAGCAUGUGAACAAAAAAAUCAGUGAACAUAAUCAAAUCCAAUACGUCAAUUUUGGCCUAGAUUGAAAUGAAAAAAACAAGGAAAUGCUUUGUGUAUCGAUUUGUUUAUGAAGGAAAUAAAACAUAUUUCAUGGAAAGAAAACCUGUGGUUACCUUUGUCUUCCUCUGCCAUUUGUCUAUCGAUUUGUUUCUGAAAGUGGCUAUUCUACAAGAUACAACAUGACAGGUCUUAGUUAGACCAAGUAAACGGCAUGGAAAUGCUUUCUGAAGCAAGAAUGUGUACUCAAGAGCUUUGUGCCAGAGAGGUCGUCGUACCCAGUGCACAAGGCUCCCGCUUUACGCAGGGUCUGGGAGAGGUGAAUGUCGGCUAGCCUUACCCCUAUUUAUGGAGAGGACUUAAGAAAAAUGAAAAAAACAAUAUAGAAUAUGGGUAAGAAUAAAUUUCGAUUAGACAAUAAUUCACUGUAUAAAUCGUUUUUUCAACUUUAAAGUGUGGCUUAAAAAGAAGCUUUAAACAAGUAGCAAUAAUUUCAUAUUGAAAAAUAAAACCUAUUUCAUGGAUAUUACAAGAGCCAUUAUUUUGAAAAACACACCUUUUGGUUCUUCACCACUUGACUUUUAAGAAGAUCUUCGUCCUUGUGACGAUUCAAAUUCUUUAAAAUAUCUCUACGACGGAAUAAACAAAACCAAUCUAGGCCAAAAUUGACUUGUUCGAUUUGAUUAUGUUCACUGAUUUUUCUGUUCACAUGUUUACCCCUACUUGCCAUAUAGUUUUGGGGUGUUAGUGCAUAGUGCUCUUCUCUUUACACACCAGUUUCAAUUUUAUUCUUCGUAAAUUAAGAGACCGUUUGAUAAUCAUUUCGUUUUCAAUUUAAAAAAUAUAAAAAACUAAAUGAAGUUUUCAACUAGAAUUUUCGCUUUUGGUUUUCAAUUUUAAUUUUUUUUAAAACAACUGAAAACUAAAAAUAGUUGCAAAAAGAAUUUUUCAUUUUUUUUUAAUUUAUAAAAAAGUAAAAACUGAAAACUCUAAACUAUAGACUAAAAAUUAAAAAGUGAAAUCGAAAUGGGCUCUCAACAAAAUUGAAAAAAGACUGGGCUGAAUUACUGAAUUCAAAGCAGGGCUUAUUAACGUUACGAGGCCCAAUGGAUCUGGAUAAAUAUUUUUCAUUUUUUUUUAACAAACGAUAUUAUUUAUAUAGGCUUAAUUUUACAGUGGGCUAACAAUAAUGUGGUUCAAAUUUGCUUUUCGCAAGAAUAGAACCUAAAACUUCUCACUUAUAAAUGAAGAGGAAUACCACUAAACCGUAGUCCUGAUAGAUUCGUUAUUUUAUUUUAUAUUUUAAGAAAAAAGAAAGAAAGCAAUGAAAAGCUGUACAUAAAAUAAAUACAAAAAGGAAUGAAAUGAAGAAGAGUGGGAGACUAAUGUUUAAUUCAAGAUAAAGAAAGAAAGCUGAUCGCACCACGACGGCGGCGACGUGGCGGUCAUUUAACGGAAAAUAACAGACAAAUCAGCCUCCAGAUCAAAUCUUGAAGCACAACUCUGAAAAAUCGAGACUACCAACAGCUGAGCUCCGACCAACCGUUGAUGGAUGCAAUCAGGAAGCUCAGAGAUCAGGUCGCCAAGCAACAGCAGGUACUCCCUCUCGUUUGAUUCCGAAUUUGUAUUUCUGUAUGGAUUUUGAUAUGAACAUAAUCUGCGUUGAUUGCGAGAUACUGAGAUUGCUUAAUGAAAUAAUAUUUAUAUAAUUGUUCGAGUUGAAUUGGAUCGAUUCGAAUUCAAAUAGAAUGUCACUAUUUCUGAGCUGUUUGGGGAUGUGUUGGAGUGCAAUGUUGAUGAAUUUCUGAAAUUUUGAGCUAGGUGUUGCUAAUUACUUAUCGAUUUUUGAUGUAAUUGGAUGCUUAAUUUUUACAUUUUCGGAAAACUUCAAACGAAAAUGGCAUAUAAUUCAACGUUCUAUGCUUCAUUAAUGCAUAAGAGUUGGUCGAAGCUUGAUCGAGUUUGCUUUUGGUUAUUUUGUGAACACCGUCAGGCUGUGUUCAAACAAUUUUCUGGUGGCAUAUAUGGGGGAUCGGAUAAUGUUGCCUCGGAUGAAAAUGAAUUUCAACAGCAUCAGAAACUCGAGAAGCUGUACAUAUCAACUCGUGCUGCCAAGGUUGCUACGCUUAUUUUUGUCUGUGCUUUAAACGAGCAUCACGUUAGUUGUGUUACCUAUCGUUUUUUUGCUUCAUCUUUAACAGCAUUACCAAAAGGAAAUUGUCCGCGGAGUGGAAGGUUACAUUGUGGCCGGUUCAAAGCACGUUGAAAUAGGUAUGUUGCUUGAAAUGCGUUGUCUUUUCUUUGGAGUUUGGAUAUGAAUUCAUGCUGGUUUUAUCAGUUGGUAUACAUAAUAUUUUUUCAACAGGUACCAAGCUAUCAGAAGAUAGCAGGAAAUAUGGUUCUGAAAAGACUUGCACCAGUGAUAACACAUUGUCGAGAGCUGCACUUAGUUUUGGAUGAGGUGGGGCCCAAAUGGAAAAAGAGUGCGGAGUUCUACUUAAAGCCCUUGGCACACAGGUUUAAGUCAAAUUAUUACUAACAGAGGCUAUUAAGUAAAAAUCAAAUAUUGCCAGGGCCGGCUUCAUACAAAUGGAAUUUCAACUGACUAAUUUUCGUGUGCAUUUGAUCAUUUCGAAAGAAAUUUACAGCAAAAAUUGUUUUCAUUUCCACGUCGUGGUUCAAGAAUUGGACUACUUUUUGUGUUUCUAUGCAUCGUAUGACAAACUGGCUCACCAUUUCUUUCUAUAGGUUUGCAUAAUAACUCUUUGUGUGCUUAUCAAUUUGCCUGUGUAGGUUGCAUAGCCUUUAUAGUGGGAGCGCCCAUGGAGGAUGCUCGACAUCUUGCUCAACGUUAUGCUAGAAUGCGGCAAGAAGCUGAAGCUCAGGUAUAUGCAGUUUCUUCUGUUUCCUACCAAUUUUAUUCUACAGUGAUUUUAUAUCCAAAACAAGCAUUGACUUGGCUGUCCAUCCAUCAAUAGCAGGUCCACAUCUCAACCCAAAUAUAAUGACGUCAAAGGAGAGGGGAAAAUGAGAAGGAAACUCUGGAGGGUAGAGGGAAGGAAAAGGGGAAAAGGAGAAAGGGAGAAGGGAAAAGUAGAACGGGAAGGAGGAAAAUGAGAGGAAAUUUCGGAGAAUAGAGAAAGGGAGAAGGGAAAAGAAGAAAAGCAGAAAAGAAGGGAAAAGGGGAAGGAAGCUUAGGAGGCUAGAGAAAAAGAUGGAAAUGCAUAAAAAUAAAAAAAUAAAAAAGGAAAGUCGCCUUCAUCAUUAUGUCUACUAACGGAAAGGAGCAACCACAUUGUAAAUUAUAUUUUGUAUAAUGAGAAACCAGUAUUCCUACCCUGAGGGUAUAGACACAACUUGCUGAAUCUCGUUACUAUACAGCAAGUUUAUAAUUGCACAAUAAUUCGAUCAAUCAUCUUAAGUUCAACCAUACAUGUAACAAGAUUUAAGUUUUUCCAAACUUUCCUUAUGAAGGUAACUGAACAUUACAAGUGUCACGUUAUUAUGCGAUUCUAUCAAGUUUUAAUUUUUGUCUCAUAACCACAUUACAAGUGCCACGUUAUUUAUUUUAUCCUUUAUUUUAUCUUUAUUAUUAAAACUUAAAAUUUUCAUAUUUUUUUAUUAAUUUUUUUUUAUAAAAUCACACGUAAAACAAGAAGUAAUCUUUUCUUUUUCUUUUCAUCUCUGCCACUAGCGGCCGACCAUGACUUAAAGAAACGCUUUUUGGAUGGGUCAAUGUAUGGGAACGACCCAUUUUAUAUGUUACAUGGUUGUGCAAUUAAAAGUGCAUUUUAUCAUAAAAAUGUGAGCAACGAUCAAUAUAAUUGUUAUUUAUAAAAUCACACAAAACACAAGAAGGAAUCUUUUCUUUUUCUUUUUCAUCUCUGCCACUACCAGCCGACCAUGACUUAAAAGAAACGCUUUUUGGUUCAAUGGAUGGGAACGACCUAUUUUAUAAUAAGAAAAAUUAAUUAAAAAAAUUUAAAAAUUUUAAGUUUUAAUAAUAAAAAGAUGUUGUAAAUAAAUAGUACAUAAUUGAUUUUUUUAGUAAAAGUAUAAUUUUUUAUUAAAAUUUCGUUCAAAUCCCCUUUAUAAUAUUGUUUGUAAAUUUUUCUGGAAGUAGAUGGAAAUGACCCAAUUACAUAUUUCCCCUGCUCACAGACAUUUUCAUUGCACCUAGAAAACCAGUUUUUUGUUAGAAAAUCGAUCCACAUCAAUGGCUCUUGUGAGAACAUCUCCAGGAACCUCCUCUGAUUCCAACACUUUUCGGAGUUAUCGCUACGACGUGUUCUUGAGCUUCAGAGGCGAAGAUACUCGCAAGACUUUUACCGACCACCUCUACACAGCCUUGAACAACGCAGGAUUUCUUACGUUCCGAGACGACGAUGAACUUGAGAGAGGAGAAGAUAUAAAGCCAGGACUGCAGAAAGCGAUCCAGCAGUCACGAACUUCUGUUGUCGUGUUUUCGAAAGAUUACGCUUCAUCCAGUUGGUGUCUUGAUGAGCUUGUGCUGAUCCUUGAACGCAAGAGGACCACCUCGGACCAUGUAGUUUUACCAGUCUUCUACGAUGUCGAUCCGUCCCACGUGAGGAAGCAGACAGGAAGUGUUGGAAAAGCAUUUGCUAGAAGCCAGAAAAAUCAGUCGCCGGAAAAGGUGCAGGGAUGGAGGAAGGCACUUGCAGAGAUUGCAGACCUAGCAGGCAUGGUCUUACAAAAUCAAGCUGAUGGGUAACUUUCAUUAUCUCCAUUUCUCAUCUUUCCUGGGUGAAUUUGAUGUAUGAUCCGUAAUGACCUAGAUUUUUAUAUGUUUAUUAAUUCAAUCUCAGUAGUGAAUAAUAAUCUCAAUUUAGGUCAACUUAAAGAAAUCACACUCAACUCAACUUAAGGAUUAGUCAUUUUCCAUGUUAAUCUACUGGUUUCCAGUUGCUUAAAUUUUUUUGAAAGCUGGUGUGGAAAAAGGUUAGGAUGUGAUCUGUCUAUAGUUCGUGUAAAUUAUGCGCUGUAUUCCUUUUUUUUUUCAAUUUAAUUUUGUCAGCAGUCCUCUUUUUUUUUUCUUAUUUAAAAAGGCAAUCAACAUAUGUUUUAAUUAUCUAAUUUCCCCAAUUCAUUUUUCAUUUUGUUUGCAAAUUCUUAGGUACGAGUCAAAGUUUAUCAAAAAAAUUGUUGAAGUGAUAGGAGACAAGUUAUGUCGUACGUCGUUGAGUGUUGAACCAAAAUUGAUUGGAAUUCAAUCUCAAGCCGAACGCAUCAAUUUGUGGUUACAAGAUGGAUCAAGUCAUGUUGGUAUAUUUGUUGUGUAUGGCAUGUCUGGAAUAGGGAAGACAACCAUUGCAAAACAUGUUUACAAUUCAAACUUUGGAAGCUUUCAAGGAAGUAGUUUCAUUGAAAAUAUCAAAGAAACAGCAGAUCGACCAAAUGGCUUAGUUCAAAUACAAAUGCAACUUCUUUGUGAUAUUUUGAACGGCAGAGAAGUGAAAAUACACAGUGUUAGUGAGGGAAUAAUUAAGAUUGAAAGGGCCAUAAGCACUAGAAGAGUUCUACUUGUUCUUGAUGAUGUUGACCAAAUGGACUAAUUCGAUGCAAUCCUAAGGAUGAAGGAUCAGUUUUAUCCUGGAAGUAAGAUACUAAUAACAACUAGGCGUGAAAGGCUGCUAAAGGCAGAUCAAGUUACAGAGGUGCACAGAGUUCAAACUUUGGAUUACAAUGAAUCAUUAAAGCUUUUCAGUUGGCAUGCUUUUGGCCAGGACCAUCCCAUAGAAGAAUACAUGGAGCACUCAAAACAGCUAGUGCAACAUAGCGACGGACUUCCAUUAGCUCUAAAAGUUUUGGGUUCUUCUUUAUCAGGGGAAAGUAUAGGUGUAUGGGAAAGUGCAUUGGAGAAGCUAAAAGUUAUUCCUGAUGGUGAAAUCAUAAACAAACUAAGAAUAAGCUAUGAAAGUUUAAAAGAUGACCAUGACCGGAAAUUAUUCCUCCACAUUGCUUGUUUCCUAAUAGGAAGGAACAAAACCUACAUUGUUAGAAUAUUCGAUGGAUGUGAUUUCUAUACAAUCAUUGGCAUUCAAAAUCUCAUUGAUAGAUGCUUGGUGACAUUUGAUGAACACGGCAAGGUGAAAAUGCAUGACAUGAUUCGUGCUAUGGGAAGAGAAAUUGUUCGCCAAGAAUCAGAAGAGCUUGAGGAACGUAGUAGAUUAUGGCGCCAUAAGGAUUCUUUCCAAGUAUUGAGGAAAAAGAAUGUAAGAAACAUGCCUUUUAUGUCUAUAUAUGUCUUUCUUCUUGUGAAAAUUAUGCAUAUUAAUGUCUUUUUUUUUUCCUUUAGGGUACAAAAAAAAUCCAAGGUCUUGUCCUGGAUAUGCGUAAUCAUUCUGCAAACAGUCCAAUAAACACAAAUGAGAUAGUCUUGGAAACCAAUGCAUUUGCAAGGAUGUGCAAUUUACAACUACUCCAUCUUAGUCAUGUACGACUGGAUGGAUGUUAUGCAGAUUUCCCUACAGGAUUAAGAUGGUUGUGUUGGCUUGAAUUUCCUUUGGAUUCUAUACCAAUUGAUUUUCCUUUGGAGAACGUAAUUGUUCUGGAAAUGCAAUACAGUAGCUUGAGACAAGUAUGCAAAGGAACAAAAGUAUGUUACUCUAUGCAUUUCAAUUCAUUUUCCUUAUUUUGUUAGUUUUUUAUUUGUUGACUAACUUCGUGUGUUAAAAUGAACUACUAUGUUUUCUUUAAUUCAAUGACUAAUUUCUUAUAUUAGAUACUUAUUUCAUUGUUAUUUUUUCUUCUUUUUUUUCCCUCUGUUUCCACAGUUUCUUCCAUCGUUGAAGAUCCUUGACGUCAGCCAUUCUCAUGGCCUUAGUGAAACCAUUGACUUCUCACUUUUCCCCAAUCUAGAGGAACUGAUUCUUGUAGAUUGCACAAGCCUGAAGAAUGUUCAUGAAUCCAUUGGAAGCUUGGAGAGACUCGUGUACUUGAAUAUAAAGGAUUGCAAGAAUCUUAGGAAGCUUCCGAAGAACAUGUGCAUGCUUAAGGCCCCGUUUGGGAUUGAGGUGAUUUUAAAAAAAGCCACUGUCAAAAAAAGCUGAGGAUCAUUUUUGUGUUUGGUAAACUGAAAAAAAAGGGCUUAUUUUGGAAGCUGCUGUGAGAAUAAGCUGAAAAUCAAAGAAAAAGCUGAAGCUGCUAUUUGCUGCUUUGAAAAAAAGCCAGUUUUUUCAAAGCACACGGAGCUACAGUGCUCCUUUAAUGAAAAGACACACUAUCAUCCUGCUUUUUUUUCCAAAAGCACUUUCACAAAAAAGUUUACCAAACACUCUACUGGCUUUAUUUCACAGCCGCUUAUUCUCACAGCACAGCUGCUUAUUCUUACAGCAGCUUUUUUUCAAAGCACAGCAAUACCAAACCAGCCCUAAAUCACUUGAACACUCAUUUUAUCUGGUUGCUCAAAUCUUGAUGAGUUUCCAAUGGAGAUGAUGAAGAUGGAGUCUCUGAAAGUUCUUGAGACAGAUGGACUUCCAAUAGGUAAAUUGUGGCCAGAAAGAAGUUCAACUAUCUUGAGUUCUUUUCCAUGCUCUUUAGUAGAGUUAAGUCUGAAGGGGUGCAAUCUUUCUGAUGAUGUCCUUCCUACGGAUUUAAGUAAUCUAUCCAAUUUGCAGUCUGCCAGUUUUCAUCAAAGGUUUGAGGAAGAUCGAUGAACUCUCUUUCAAGGGUUGUGAUAGGCUCGAAUCGCUUGUGGGGUUGCCGGAAGUACACCAAUGGCUAAGUAUAGCCGGAUGCAUAUCAUUAAAAAAAAUAACUUUUCAUUCCCCUGAGCAACCGUAUCUAGUACGUGGGGGUGACAACUCGAAUAACUGUAAUUGCUGUUACAAGUUACAGCCUUUUGAUAGAGUUGAUGUGAAAAUGAUCAAACUUAUGGGCUUGUGCAACUUUGAAUCCAUGCCAGCUGUUCAAAUGCGUAAUUCAUACACAUACAGGGAUCCAAAAGAGGUCCCCGUCCAGGUGCGCCUCUCUUUCUCUCUCUCAUAAGUCUUAAAUAUAUAAUGGGAAAGAAAUUACUGAGUAAUGUUGUGAUGACUGUGGCAAAUACAUAGGGACUGUAUCAAUUUGGUGUAUUCAGCACUUUUUUUGUUGGGAAUGAGGUUCCAGGCCGGUUCAGCUAUAAAAGUACGAAGUAUUCGAUAUCUUUUAUUGUCCCUUUACUACUUGCUAGUCACAGAAUUCGAGGCUUGAACAUCUUUGCUACCUAUGCAAAGGAAAAUUCAAAUAAUUAUUCUACUGGACCUAUUAUUGUUCCAAUAAUGAUCAAAGUGAGAAACAAGAGCAAGGGUUUGAAGUGGAUCUAUUGCCCAUUAUCCUAUGGAAUCCCAGGUGACGGAGAAGAUAUGAUAUGGUUGAGCCAUUGGAAGAUGGAGAAUAAUACAAUAUUACAAUGUGGAGAUGAAGUGGUGGUUUCGGUAAUAACCGGACCACGUGACUUGUUUUUGGUAAAGGAGUUUGGUGUCGAGCUUGUGCAAGAGCACCAAGACAAGAUGAGUACCCAACACAACACCAAAUCAGAUCCUAAUUAUCCAUUUGUUAUCGGUGGAGAUUUGAAGACGUGGAAGUGCAAACCAGGAAUAUACUUCCUUAGCUGUAGGAGACGAGAAGAUACUGACGACAUUGAUAUCCUCACCAUGGACUCUGAUGAAGAAGACACAAGUAUGUUGUGUUGUUGUAUAGCAUUGAAUUAUACUCCAUCCAAACACUUCCGGGUGUGUCCGUAUUCAUUUCAAAAACAUUUCCAAUAAAUUUUAUGUUAUUUGUAUGUUUUUCAGACAAAGAAGGGCAAGAGGAUGAACCUGAUUACACAAUUGCAAAGACGAUGGCAGCUAGCAAUAACUGCAGCCUAAGAGGAUGGAAGGUGCGCCUCACAGCUGUCGGCUUCUUUUUCGCGCUUGCUCUAGUUGGUUGGUCCUCCAUCUCGCAAAAAAAGAAGCGACACUCGUCCACAAGCCCACCAUGAGUUUGUAAUUUGACUUGAUAUAGAUAUAUCUUUGCAUUCCUUGCUCUCAAGAUGUUUUCUACCUUCGAAACUUCAAGUUUAGAGCUAAGCACUUUAACCGCUUGAGAUAUAAAAGCCCCUUGCAACUAGAUACCGAAGUUCAAAUGUGUUCAACGCCAUCAAAUAUAGCAUAAAAUACAUCCAGCAUUAGCGAUACUAGCAUAGUAGCAGUAAAUAAGUAAAACCAAAAAAUGCUUCCACACAUGGUAAGGGAAGGACUUUACAUAGGAAUCUUUAGCAAUAACGGGCAAGAUUUUUUUGUUUUUGGGAGGAGGUGGAUUAUUUCGGCACCGGGGAAAACAAAAACAUCCCAUCUUAGUUGUCGUUUACAACAAAAUCAUUCUUAAAGACUCGGCUCCCCAUUGAAAUUGUGUAAAUUGCAUAAAUAUCAAUACAACAGAUAUUAAAUAGAAUAAUAUAUAUCAAAUAAAUUAACGACAAGCAAUUUCUUAGCCUGAGAUCCAAGGACUUUACAGCUGGUUCAGCCUUGCAUUCGCUACUACAUUACAGAAGCUGGUUUCUGCUUCUUCAACCUGAACAAAUUAUUGAGGUCAGGAAGUAUAAGAGGAACGACCAUAGUCUCUGGAGCCAUGAAAUUUACUAUCUUCUUUUGGGCAUUGUACCUGCAAAAGCAUAAUGCAAUAAGCAUUCAACAAUCUGACCUAGUUUUCUCAACAGAUACUCCAAGAUAUUCCAAAACAAAGUCACAGCAAUUUCACAUAGGGAACCGAAGAAUCAUGUUCGUCCACUCUACACAUCCAAAGCAGCAAACUAACAAUUUCACAUAGGAUACCAGGUUGGGAGGAUACAAUCAUUAACAAUUUCAAAAGCUUUAAAUGCAAUCUGAAUACAUGGCAAGUAGGGGUAAACAUGUGAACAGAAAAAAUCAGUGAACAUAAUCAAAUCCAAUACGUCAAUUUUGGCCUAGAUUGAAAUGAAAAAAAAACAAGGAAAUGCUUUGUUGUUUUUGAAGGAAAUAAAACCUAUUUCAUGGAAAUAAAACCUGUGGUUACCUUUGUCUUCCUUUGCCAUUUGUCUAUCGAUUUGUUUCUGAAAGUGGCUAUUCUACAAGAUACAGCAUGACAGGUCCUAGUUAGACCAAGCAACCGGCAUGGAAAUGCUUUCUGAAGCAAGAAUCUGAACUCAAGAGCUUUGUGCCAGAGAGACUUCAGAAAAAUGAAAAAAAACAACAUAGAAUAUGGGUAAGAAUAAACAUCGAUCAAACAAUAAUUCACUGUAUAAAACAUUUUUUCAACUUUAAAGUGUGGCUUAAAAAGAAGCUUUAAACAAGUAGCAAUAAUUUCAUAUUGAAAAAUAAAACCUGGAUAUUACAAGAGCCAUUAUUUUGAAAGACACACCUUUUGGUUCUUCACUACUUGACUUUUAAGAAGAUCUUCGUCCUUGUCACGAUUCAGAUUCUUUAAAAUAUCUCUGCGAUGGAAUAAACAAAACCAAUCUAGGCCAAAAUUGACUUAUUCGAUUUGAUUAUGUUCACUGAUUUUUCUAUUCACAUGUUUACCCCUUACUUGCCAUAUGGUUUUGGGGUGUUAGUGCAUAGUGCUCUUCUCUUUACACACCUGUUUCAUUUGUAUUCGUUGUAAAUUAAGAGACCGUUUGAUAAUCAUUUCGUUUUCAAUUUAAAAAAUAUAAAAAACUAAAUAAAGUUUUCUAAAUUUGACCUAGAAUUUUUCGCUUUUGGUUUUUAAUUUUUUUUUUUAACAACUGAAAACUAAAAAUAGUUACAAAUUUUUUUUUCAGUUUUUAAUUUACAAAAAAGUAAAAACUGAAAACUCUAAACUAUAGACUAAAAAUUAAAAAGUGAAAUCGAAAUGGGCUCUCAACAAAAUUGAAAAAAGACUGGGCUGAAUUACUGAAUUCAAAGCAGGGCUUAUUAACGCUACGAGGCCCAAUGGAUCUGUAUAAAUAUUUUUUGUUUUUUUUUAACAAACGAUAUUAUCUAUAUGGGCUUAACCUUACAAUAGGCUAACAAUAAUGUGGUUCAAAUUUAUUUUUGACGAGAAUCGAACCUAAAACUUCUCGCUUACAAAUGAAGAGGAAUACCACUAAAUCAUAGUCCUGAUAUUUUAUUUAAUAUUUUAAGAAAAAAGAAAGAAAGCAAUGAAAAGCUGUACAUAAACUAAAUACAAAAAGGAAUGAAAUGAAGAAGAGUGGGAGACUAACGUUUAAUUCAAGAUAAAGAAAGAAAGGUAAUCGCACCCCGACGGCGGCGACGUGGCGGUCAUUUAACGGAAAAUAACAGACAAAUCAGCCUCCAGAUCAAGUCUUGAAGCACAACUCUGAAAAAUCGACACUACCUACAGCUGAGCUCCGACCAACCGUUGAUGGAUGCAAUCCGGAAGCUCAGAGAUCAAGUCGCCAAGCAACAGCAGGUACUCUCUCUCUUGUUUGAUUCCGAAUUUGUAUUUCUGUAUGGAUUAUGAUAUGAACAUAAUCUGCGUUGAUUGCGAGAUACUAAGAUUGCUUAAUGAAAUAAUAUUUAUAUAAUUGUUCAAAUUGAAUUGGAUCGAAUUCGAAUAGAUUUUUCACUAUUUCUGAGCUGUUUGGGGCUGUGUUGGAGUGUAUUGUUGCUGAAUUUCUGAAAUUUUGAAUCUAGCAAACACCAGUUCUUUUUGUUUGAACAUCGAUCCACAUCAAUGGCUCUUGUGAGAACAUCUCCAGGAACCUCCUCUGAUUCCAACACUUUUCGGAGUUAUCGCUACGACGUGUUCUUGAGCUUCAGAGGCGAAGAUACUCGCAAGACUUUUACCGACCACCUCUACACAGCCUUGAACAACGCAGGAUUUCUUACGUUCCGAGACGACGAUGAACUUGAGAGAGGGGAAGAUAUAAAGCCAGGACUGCAGAAAGCGAUCCAGCAGUCACGAACUUCUGUUGUCGUGUUUUCGAAAGAUUACGCUUCAUCCAAGUGGUGUCUUGAUGAGCUUGUGCUGAUCCUUGAACGCAAGAGGACCACCUCGGACCAUGUAGUUUUACCAGUCUUCUACGAUGUCGAUCCGUCCCACGUGAGGAAGCAGACAGGAAGUGUUGGAAAAGCAUUUGCUAGAAGCCAGAAAAAUCAGUCGCCGGAAAAGGUGGAGGGAUGGAGGAAGGCACUUGCAGAGAUUGCAGACCUAGCAGGCAUGGUCUUACAAAAUCAAGCUGAUGGGUAACCUUCAUUAUCUCCAUUUCUCUUCUCUUUGUUGGGUCAAUUUGAUGUAUGAUCCGUAGUGACAUAGAUUUUUAUAUAUUUAUUAAUUCAAUCUCAGUAGUGAAUAAUAAUCCCAAUUCAGGUCAACUUAAAGAAAGCACACUCAACUCAACUUAAGGAUUAGUCAUUUUCCAUGUUAAUCUACUGGUUUCCAGUUGCUUAAAUUUUUUUUGAAAGCUGGUGUGGAAAAAAGUUAGGAUGUGAUCUGUUUUGUAUUUGUCUAUAGUUUGUAUAGAUUAUGCGCUGUAUUCCUUUUUUUUUCAAUUUAAUUUUGUCAGGCAAUCAACAUAUGUUUUAAUUAUCUAAUUUCCCCAAUUCAUUUUUCAUUUUGUUUGCAAAUUCUUAGGUACGAGGCAAAGUUUAUCGAAAAAAUUGUUAAAGUGAUAGAAGACAAGUUAAGUCGUAUGCCAUUGAGUGUUGAACCAAAAUUGAUUGGUAUUCAAUAUCAAGCCGAACGCAUCAAUUUGUGGUUACAAGAUGGAUCAAGUGGUGUUGGUAUAUUUGUUGUGUAUGGCAUGUCUGGAAUCGGGAAGACAACCAUUGCAAAACAUGUUUACAAUUCAAACUUUAGAAGCUUUCAAGGAAGUAGUUUCAUUGAAAAUAUCAAAGAAACAGCAGAUCGACCAAAUGGCUUAGUUCAAAUACAAAUGCAACUUCUUUGUGAUAUUUUGAACGGCAGAGAAGUGAAAAUACACAGUGUUAGUGAGGGAAUAAUUAAGAUUGAAAGGGCCAUAAGCUCUAGAAGAGUUCUACUUGUUCUUGAUGAUGUUGACCAUAUGGACCAAUUAGAUGCAAUCCUAAGGAUGAAAGAUCAGUUUUAUCCGGGAAGUAAGAUACUAAUAACAACUAGGCGUGAAAGGUUGCUAAAGGCAGAUCAAGUUACAGAGGUGCACAGAGUUCGGACUUUGUAUUACAAUGAAUCAUUAAAGCUUUUCAGUUGGCAUGCUUUUGGCCAGGACCAUCCCAUAGAAGAAUACAUGGAGCACUCAAAACAGCUUGUGCAACAUAGCGACGGACUUCCAUUAGCUCUAAAAGUUUUGGGUUCUUCUUUAUCAGGGGAAAGUAUAGGUGUAUGGGAAAGUGCAUUGGAGAAGCUAAAAGUUAUUCCUGAUGGUGAAAUCAUGAAUAAACUAAGAAUAAGCUAUGAAAGUUUAAAAGAUGACCAUGAUCGGAAAUUAUUCCUCCACAUUGCUUGUUUCCUAAUAGGAAGGAACAAAAGCUACAUUGUUAGAAUACUCGAUGGAUGUGAUUUCUAUACAAUCAUUGGCAUUCAAACUCUCAUUGAUAGAUGCUUGGUGACACUUGAUGAACACGGCAAGGUGAAAAUGCAUGACAUGAUUCGUGCUAUGGGAAGAGAAAUUGUUCGCCAAGAAUCAGAAGAGCUUGAGGAACGGAGUAGAUUAUGGCGCCAUAAGGAUUCUUUCCAAGUAUUGAGGAAAAAGAAUGUAAGAAACAUGCCUUUUAUGUCUAUAUAUGUAUUCCUUCUUGUGAAAAUUAUGCAUAUUAAUGUCUUUUUUUUUCCUUUAGGGUACAAAAAAAAUCCAAGGUCUUGUCCUGGAUAUGCGUAAUCAUCCUGCAAACAGUCCAAUAAACACAAAUGAGAUAGUCUUGGAAACCAAUGCAUUUGCAAGGAUGUGUAAUUUACAACUACUCCAUCUUAGUCAUGUACGACUGGAUGGAUGUUAUGCAGAUUUCCCUACAGGAUUAAGAUGGGUGUGUUGGCUUGAAUAUCCUUUGGAUUCUAUACCAAUUGAUUUUCCUUUGGAGAACGUAAUUGUUCUUGAAAUGCAAUACAGUAGCUUGAGACAAGUAUGCAAAGGAACAAAAGUAUGUUACUCUAUGCAUUUCAAUUCAUUUUCCUUAUUGUGUUAGUUUCUUAUUUGUUGACUAACUCCAUGUGUUAAAAUGAACUACUAUGUUUUCUUUAAUUCGAUGACUAAUUUCUUAUGUUAGAUACUUAUUUCAUUGUUCUUUUUUCUUUUCUUUUUUUCCCUCUGUUUCCACAGUUUCUUCCAUCGUUGAAGAUCCUUGACGUCAGCCAUUCUCAUGGCCUUAGUGAAACCAUUGACUUCUCACUUUUCCCCAAUCUAGAGGAACUGAUUCUUGUAGAUUGCACAAGCCUGAAGAAUGUUCAUGAAUCCAUUGGAAACCUAGAGCGACUCGUGUACUUGAAUAUGAAGGAUUGCAAGAAUCUUAGGAAGCUUCCGAAGAACAUGUGCAUGCUUAAAUCACUUGAAACGCUCAUUUUAUCUGGUUGCUCAAAUCUUGAUGAGUUUCCCUUGGAGAUGAUGAAGAAGAUGGAGUCUCUGAAAGUUCUUGAGACAGAUGGAAUUCCAAUAAGUGAAUUGUGGCCAGAAAGAAGUUCAACUAUCUUGAGUUCUUUUCCACGCUCUUUAGUAGAGUUAAGUCUGAAGGGAUGCAAUCUUUCUGAUGAUGUCUUUCCUACGGAUUUAAGUAAUUUAUCCUACUUGCGAGGACUACAUUUAGAUGAGAAUCCAAUUUGCAGUCUGCCAGUUUUCAUCAAAGGUUUGAGGAGGAUCGAUAAACUCUCUUUCAAGGGUUGUGAUAGGCUUGAAUCGCUUGUGGGGUUGCCGGAAGUACACCAAAUAAUGAGUAUAGUCAGAUGCAUAUCAUUAAAAAAAUAACUUUUCAUUCCCCUGGGCAACAUCAUCUAUCACGUGUAAUUUACAAUGACAACCGGAAUCUUGUUGAGGCGGAGUGUUUUUACAAGUUAGAGCCUAUUGAUAGAGUUGAUGUGGAAAUGAUCAAACUUUUGGGCUUGUGCAACUUGGAAUCCAUGCCAGCUGUUCGAAUGCAUCAUCCACUCACAAACUGGGAUCUAAUAGACGUCCCCGUCCAGGUGCGCCUCUUUUUCUCUCUCUCUCAUAAGUCUUAAAUAUAUAAUGGGAAAGAAAUGACUGAGUAAUGUUGUGAUGACUGUGGCAAAUACAUAGGGACUGUAUCAACAUGGUAUAUUCAGCACCUUUUUUGUUAGGAAUGAGGUUCCAGGCCUGUUCAGCUAUAAAAGUACCAAGUCCUCGAUAUCUUUUAUUGUCCCUUUACUACUUGCUAGUCACAGAAUUCGAGGCUUAAACAUCUUUGCUACCUAUGCAAAGGAAAAUUCAAAUAAUUAUUCUACUGGACCUAUUAUUGCUCCAAUAAUGAUCAAAGUGAGAAACAAGAGUAAGGGUCUGAAGUUGAUCUAUGACCCUGAGUUCUACGGAAUUCCAGGUGACGGAGAAAAUAUGAUAUGGUUGAGCCAUUGGAUGAUGGAGAAUAAAACAAUAUUACAAUGUGGAGAUGAAGUGGUGGUUUCGGUAAUAACCGGACCACGUGACAUGUUUUGGGUAAAGGAGUUUGGUGUCGACCUUGUGCAAGAGCACCAAGACAAGAUGAGUACCCAACACAACACCAAAUCCGAUCCUAAUUAUCCAUUUGUUAUCGGUGGAGAUUUGAAGAUGUUUGAGCGCAGACCGGGAAUAUACUUCCUUGGCAAUUAUGCAAGAAAAGAUAUUGAUGACAUUGAUAUCCUCACCAUGGCCUCUGAUGAAGAAGACACAAGUAUGUUGUGUUGUUGUAUAGCAUUGAAUUAUACUCCAUCCAAACACUUCCAUGUGUGGUCCGUAUUCAUUUCAAAAAUGUUUCCAAUAAAUGUUAUGUUAUUUGUAUGUUUUUCAGACAAAGAAAGACAAGAGGAUGAACCUGAUUACACAAUUGCAAAGACGAGGGCUGCUAGCAAUAACUGCAGCUUGAGAGGCUGGAAGGUGCGCCUCACAGCUGUCGGCUUCUUUUUUUCGCUUGCUCUAGUAGGUUGGUCCUCCAUCUCCCAAAAAAAGAAGCGACACUCGUCCACAAGCCCACCAUGAGUUUGUAAUUUGACUUGAUAUAGAUAUAUCUUUGCAUUCCUCUCAGGAUGUUUUCUAUCUUCAAAACUUCAAGUUCGCUAAGCACGCUUAACCGCUUGAGAUAUAAAAGCCCCUUGCAACUAGAUACCAAAGUUAAAAUGUGUUCAAAACAUCAAAUAUAGCAUAAAAUACAUCCAGCAUUAGUUAUACUAGCAGAGUAGCAAUAAAUAAGUAAAACAAAAAAAUGCUUCCACACACGGUAAGGGAUGGACUUUGACAUAGGUAUCUUUAGAGCAAUUCCACCCCUAAGGACUUUGCGUCCGCACCUAGCGCAUUUAUCCACUCAAAUGAACAGUAACAGACUCUAAUGAACAGUAAUAGGCCAAGCAUCUCCACCCCUAAAAAAAUGCGCUGGCACCUAGUAAAAAAAUGCGUUGGCACAAACGAUCUUCAUCCCUACAAAAUGCGCUGGCACCCAGCCCAUUUAAAAUAUUUUUAAAUGUUGUCUAAAAGAAUAAAAAAAUAAAAUAGUUUUAAUUUCGGAUAGGAUUUUUAACUAAUCUCGUCACACCACAUGUCAUUAUCUGAACGUACUAUUUUGUGAAUAGAUUUCCGCUAAGAUUUUCUGUAUUUUUUAAUAAUUUUUAAUGAAUUUUAAUAUAGUUAAUUAAUCUGGACCGUUAGAUUUGAAAAAAUAUUCAAAUCCAAGAGACAGGGAGUUGCCACGUGGCCAACAGUCAUAUUUCUGACCGUUGGGCCUUUUUUUUUUUUUUUUACUUUUUUGUAAAAAAAACGUGGACCGUUGAUCUUUGAUCCGACAGUCUAUUUUAAAAGUAAAAUUUAAAUUUUUUUACCGUUGGAAAUCCAACGGUCUAGAAAAGGGAGCCACGUCGCCAACUCGAGGGGGGGGGGGAAACUGAGUGCGCCACGCGGGCCCGCCUUCUGAAAUCUUGUCGGGCACUCGCGCCAGCACCUCCAUGAAGCGCACGCGCAAGGCAAACUGCCCAGCUUCUUGCUCAGUCUCGUUUGGGCUGGGUACCAGUCAAGUUGAAGGGGUGGACUUGGUUGACAGGGUGCUGGCCUUGUUUUUGUGCUGGAUCCUGGGCAAAUUCCACUGGGGUGGAAUUGCUCUUAGCAAUAACGGGCAAGAUUUUUUUUAGGGAGGGGGAAGGGAUUAUUUUGGCAUCGGGGAAAACAAAAACAUCCUAUCUGCUUAUGAAUGACAAAUUUACAAAUCUUAAUUGUCGUUUACAACAAAAUCAUUCUUAAAGACUCGGCUCCCCAUUGAAAUUGUGUAAAUUGCAUAUAUAACAAUACAACAGAUAUUAGAUAGAAUAAUAUAUAUCAAAUAAUUUAACGAUAGGACUUUACAGUUGGUUCAGCCUUGCAUUGCUACUACGCUACAGAAGCUGGUUUCUGCUUCUUCCACCUGAACAAAUUAUUGAGGUCAGGAAGUAUAGGAGGAACGGCCAUAGUCUCUGGAGCCAAGAAAUUUACUAUCUUCUCAUGAACAUUGUACCUGCAAAAGCAUAAUGCAAUAAGCAUUCAACAAUCUGACCUAGUUUGCUCAACAGAUGCUCUAAGAUAUUCCAAAACAAAGUCACAACAAUUUCACAUAGGGAACCGAAGAAUCAUGUUCAUCCACUCAACACAUCCAAAGCAGCAAACUAACUAGGAUACCAGGUUGGGAGGAUACAAUCAUUAACAAUUUCAAAAGCUUUAAACGCAAUCUGAAUAUAUGGCAAGUAGGGGUAAACAUGUGAACAGAAAAGUCAAAGAACAUAAUCAAAUCGAAUAAGUCAAUUUUGGCCUAGAUUGAAAUGAAAAAAAAAACAAGGAAAUGCUUUGUGUAUCGAUUUGUUUAUGAAGGAAAUAAAUGCUUUGUGUAUCCAUUCGUCUAUCAAUUUGUUUCUGAAAGUGGCUAUUCUACAAGAUACAGCAUGACAGGUCUUAGUUGGACCAAGUAACCGGCAUGGAAAUGCUUUCUGAAGCAAGAAUCUGAACUCAAGAGUUUUGUGCCAGAGAGACUUCAGAAAAAUGAAAAAAACAACAUAGAAUAUGGGUAAGAAUAAACAUCGAUUAGACAAUAAUUCACUGUAUAAAUAAUUUUUUCAACUUUAAAGUGUGGCUUAAAAAGAAGCUUUAAACAAGUAGCAAUAAUUUCAUAUUGAAAAAUAAAACCUAUUUCAUGGAUAUUACAAGAGCCAUUAUUUUGAAAAACACACCUUUUGGUUCUUCACUGCUUGACUUUUAAGAAGUUCUUUGUUCUUGUGACAAUUCAGAUUCUUUAAAAUAUCUCUGCAACGGAAUAAACAAAACCAAUCUAGGCAAAAAUUGACUUGUUCGAUUUGAUUAUGUUCACUGAUUUUUCUGUUCACAUGUUUACCCCUACUUGCCAUAUAGUUUUAGUUUUGGGGUGUUAGCGCAUAGUGCUCUUCUCUUUACACACCAGUUUCAAUUUUAUUCUUCGUAAAUUAAGAGACCGUUUGAUAAUCAUUUCGUUUUCAAUUUUAAAAAAUAUAAAAAACUAAAUAAAGUUUUCAAAAUUUGACCUAGAAUUUUCGCUUUUGGUUUUCAAUUUUAAUUUUUUUUUAAACAACUGAAAACUAAAAAUAGUUACAAAAAGAAUUUUUCAGUUUUUAAUUUACAAAAAAGUAAAAACUGAAAACUCUAUACUAUAGACUAAAAAUUAAAAAGUGAAAUCGAAAUGGGCUCUCAACAAAAUUGAAAAAAGACUGGGCUGAAUUACUGAAUUCAAAGCAGGGCUUAUUAACGUUACGAGGCCCAAUGGAUAUGUAUAAAUAUUUUUCGUUUUUUGUUUAACAAACGAUAUUAUUUAUAUGGGCUUAAUGUUACAGUGAGCUAACAAUAAUGUGGUUCAAAUUUGCUUUUCGUAAGAAUCGAAUCUAAAACUUCUCACUUAGAGAAAUACCUCUAAACCGUAAUCUGAGUGGCUCGUUAUUUUAUUUUAUAUUUUAAGAAAAAAGAAAGAAAGCAAUGAAAAGCUGUACAUAAAAUAAAUACAAAAAGCUAAGAAAUGAAGAAGAGUGGGAGACUAACGUUUAAUUCAAGAUAAAGAAAGAAAGGUAAUCGCAAGACGACGGCGGCGACGUGGCGGUCAUUAAACGGAAAAUAACAGACAAAUCAGCCUCCAGAUCAAGUCUUGAAGCACAACUCUGAAAAAUCGAGACUACCUACAGCUGAGCUCCGACCAACCGUUGAUGGAUGCAAUCCGGAAGCUCAGAGAUCAGGUCGCCAAGCAACAGCAGGUACUCCCUCUCGUUUGAUUCCGAAUUUGUAUUUCUGUAUGGAUUUUGAUAUGAACAUAAUCUGCGUUGAUUGCGAGAUACUGAGAUUGCUUAAUGAAAUAAUAUUUAUAUAAUUGUUCGAGUUGAAUUGGAUCGAUUCGAAUUCAAAUAGAAUUUCACUAUUUCUGAGCUGUUUGGGGAUGUGUUGGAGUGCAAUGUUGAUGAAUUUCUGAAAUUUUGAGCUAGGUGUUGCUAAUUACUUAUCAAUUUUUGAUGUAAUUGGAUGCUUAAUUUUUACAUUUUCGGAAAACUUCAAGCGAAAAUGGCAUAUAAUUCAACGUUCCAUGCUUCAUUAAUGCAUAUGAGUUAGUCGAAGCUUCAUCGAGUUUGCUUUUGAUUAUUUUGUGAACACCGUCAGGCCGUGUUCAAACAAUUUUCUGGUGGCAUAUAUGGGGGAUCGGAUAAUGUUGCCUCGGAUGAAAAUGAAUUUCAACAGCAUCAGAAACUCGAGAAGCUGUACAUAUCAACUCGUGCUGCCAAGGUUGCUACGCUUAUUUUUGUCUGUGCUUUAAACGAGCAUCACGUUAGUUGUGUUACCUAUCGUUUUUUGCUUCUUCUUUAACAGCAUUACCAAAAGGAAAUUGUCCGCGGAGUGGAAGGUUACAUUGUGGCCGGUUCAAAGCACGUUGAAAUAGGUAUGUUGCUUGAAAUGCGUUGUCUUUUCUUGGGAGUUUGGAUAUGAAUUCGUGUUGGUUUUAUCAGCUGGUAUACAUAAUACUUUUUCAACAGGUACGAAGCUAUCAGAAGAUAGCAGGAAAUAUGGUUCUGAAAAGACUUGCACCAGUGGUAACACAUUGUCGAGAGCUGCACUGAGUUUUGGAAGAGCUCGGGCCCAAAUGGAAAAAGAGUGCGGAGUUCUACUUAAAGCCCUUGGCACACAGGUUUAAGUCAAAUUAUUACUAACAAUGGCUCAUUAAGUAAAAAUCAAAUAUUGCCAGGGCCAGUUUCAUACAAAUGGAAUUUCAACUGACUAAUUUUCGUGUGCAUUUGAUCAUUUCGAAAGAAAUUUACAGCAAAAAUUGUUUUCAUUUCCACGUCGUGGUUCAAGAAUUGGACUACUUUUUGUGUUUCUAUGCAUCGUAUGACAAACUGGCUCACCAUUUCUUUCUAUAGGUUUGCAUAAUAACUCUUUGUGUGCUUAUCAAUUUGCCUGUGUAGGUUGCAUAGCCUUUAUAGUGGGAGCGCCCAUGGAGGAUGCUCGACAUCUUGCUCAACGUUAUGCUAGAAUGCGGCAAGAAGCUGAAGCUCAGGUAUAUGCAGUUUCUUCUGUUUCCUACCAAUUUUAUUCUACAGUGAUUUUAUAUCCAAAACAAGCAUUGACUUGGCUGUCCAUCCAUCAAUAGCAGGUCCACAUCUCAACCCAAAUAUAAUGACGUCAAAGGAGAGGGGAAAAUGAGAAGGAAACUCUGGAGGGUAGAGGGAAGGAAAAGGAGAAAAGGAGAAAGGGAGAAGGGAAAAGUAGAACGGGAAGGAGGAAAAUGAGAGGAAAUUUCGGAGAAUAGAGAAAAGGAGAAGGGAAAAGAAGAAAAGCAGAAAAGAAGGGAAAAGGGGAAGGAAGCUUAGGAGGCUAGAGAAAAAGAGGGAAAUGCAUAAAAAUAAAAAAAUAAAAAAGGAAAGUCGCCUUCAUCAUUAUGUCUACUAACGGAAAGGAGCAACCACAUUGUAAAUUAUACUAAAAAUAUGACUUUAACCCCUCAAACUCAAUUUCUUUCAUAUAAAACCCGACAUAACAUUUUUACUCGAAUAAAACCCAAUGACUAGACUUCACAUAAGCAAAUUCAUUAAUUAUGACAUUUUAAAAAUUUCUAAUGCCUAAAAUACCCCUGUUUGCAUGUUUAAUGUGCACAAUUAAACAUAUGCAGAUUUUAAGGAGGAUUAAUGAUUUUACAAAAAUAAAAUAAUAAAAAAGGCACAAAUAUUCUAAAUGCAUUGCAUGUUAUAUGAAUUUGGUUGAUUCAUGUUUCUCUCACUUCAUAAAAUUUGCUUCUAAUUUGAUAUAGGAAUUAAUUUGGAAAGUUUUCUUAAUCUUAAUAACAAUUUUCAAUUUAAAUAUAUUUUUUAAUGAAAUAGUCUAUCUUUUAAAAUAAUUAUCAAUAAAAUAAUGAAAUAGUCUAUCUUUUCAAUUUAAAUAAUGUACCUGUUAUUUAAUUUUUACAACACUAAUGUAUCUUAAAAAAUAAUUUACUUAUUGUUUAGUUUUAGCAAAAAUAAUUUACCUACUGUGUAUAAUUGGUGAAGCUAAUGAUGUACAUAUUGUUUAAUUUUUUAAAAAUUAAUGUAUGUACAAAAAUAAUUUAUCUAUUGUUCAAAUUUUAGGAUAAAAAUUUACAUGUUUUUAUUUAACAAUAAUGUAUCUACAAUUUAUUUUUGUAUGAAUAUAAUUUACCUACUUUUUAAUUUUAUAUGAAACUAAUUUACCUACUGUGUCAGUAAUGUAUCUACAAUUUUACAUACAAUAUUUACCUUCUUUUUUUUUUUCACAACAAUAGUGUAUCUACAAUUUUGUUUUUGUAUGAAUAUAGUUUACCUACAAUUUAACUUUUCAAAAAAUGUAUCUUCUAUUUUAUAGUUUACUAUCAUAUAUAUGUUUAUGUGUUCGCAAAAUAAUUUAUCUAAAGUUAUAUAGUUAAGAGAUAUGCUAAUGAAUUAUAUUAAUUCAUUAUUAGACUGAUAUAAGAAAUUGUUAAAAACGUUAGCCAUAAUGGUUGGCUAAUAAUGGUUGUAUGAGAACAGUUAUAGAAAGUUGUGGCAUAAAUUGUAAAUAACUUAUAUUAAUAGGUUACUUAUUUUCUUAUUUGGUAAUUUAUUUAAAUUUUGGGUUUUGAUUGAAUGUUUAUUCAUAGGUGGGUUUUUAUCUGAAGUAUAUGAGUUGUAUGGGUCUAUAUCUAAACAACCCUAAAUUAUAUUUUGUAUAAUGAGAAACCAGUAUUCCUACCCCGAGGGUAUAGACACAACUUACUAAAUCUCGUUACUAUACAGCAAGCUUAUAAUUGCGCAAUAAUUCGAUCAACCAUCUUAAGUUCAACCAUUCAUGUAACAAGAUUCAAGUUUUCUAAACUUUCCUUAUUAAGGUAACUGAACAUUACAAGUGCCACGUUAUUAUGCGGUUCUAUCAAGUUUUAAUUUUUGUCUCAUAACCACAUCAUCUUUAGGACAAUCAUCUUGUAGUUGAAUAUAUAAACCUUCGAUAUGGCGAUAUUGGAAACGCUUGUUGGUGGGUUGAUUGGUAGAAAUGGUUCCAACAAUUCAAGGAUGAGAAAUGAGCAUUGAGCAACGAACAAAAUAUAUUGUAUUUUAUCACAAAAGAUGUUUGUGCAAUUAAAAGUGCAUUUUAUCACAAAGAGGUGAGCAACGAUCAAUAUAAUUGUUAUUUAUAAAAGGGAACAUUAACAAAAGUUUCCGGUACUGUUUAUUUUAAUAAAAAAUUACAUUUUUACAUUAAAAGUCAAUACUGAUACUAUUUAUUUUACCCUUUAUUUUAUCUUUAUUAUUAAAACUCAAAAUUUUUAAAUUUCUUUUAUUAAUUUUUUUUUUAUAAAAUCACACGUAAAACAAGAAGUAAUCUUUUCUUUUUCUUUUCGUCUCUGCCACAAGCGGCCGACCAUGACUUAAACAAACGCUUUUUGGGUGGGUCAAGGUAUGGGAACGACCCAUUUUAUAUGUUACAUGGUUGUGCAAUUAAAAGUGCAUUGUAUCAUAAAAAGGUGAGCAACGAUCACUAUAAUUGUUAUUUAUAAAAUCACACAAAACACAAGAAGGAAUCUUUUCUUUUUCUUUUUCAUCUCUGCCACUACCAGCCAUGACUUAAAAGAAACGUUUUUUGGUUCAAUGGAUGGGAACGGCCCAUUUUAUAAUAAGGAAAAUUAAUAAAAAAAAAUUUUAAAUUUAAAUUUUAACGAAAAUAAUAAAAAGAUGUUGUAAGUGAAUAAUACAUGAUUGAUUUUUUUGAAUAAAAAAAUAUAUAUUGUUUUAAAUAAACAGUAUUAGGAGUGUUUGGUUCAAAUCCCUUUAUAAUAUUGUUCGUAAAUUUUUCUGGAAGUAGAUGGAAAUGACCCAAUUACAUAUUUCCCCUGCUCACAGACAUUUUCAUUGCACCUAGAAAACCAGUUUUUUGUUAGAAAAUCGAUCCACAUCAAUGGCUCUUGUGAGAACAUCUCCAGGAACCUCCUCUGAUUCCAACACUUUUCGGAGUUAUCGCUACAACGUGUUCUUGAGCUUCAGAGGCGAAGAUACUCGCAAGACUUUUACCGACCACCUCUACACAGCCUUGAACAACGCAGGAUUUCUUACGUUCCGAGACGACGAUGAACUUGAGAGAGGAGAAGAUAUAAAGCCAGGACUGCAGAAAGCGAUCCAGCAGUCACGAACUUCUGUUGUCGUGUUUUCGAAAGAUUACGCUUCAUCCAGGUGGUGUCUUGAUGAGCUUGUGCUGAUCCUUGAACGCAAGAGGACCACCUCGGACCAUGUAGUUUUACCAGUCUUCUACGAUGUCGAUCCGUCCCACGUGAGGAAGCAGACAGGAAGUGUUGGAAAAGCAUUUGCUAGAAGCCAGAAAAAUCAGUCGUCGGAAAAGGUGGAGGGAUGGAGGAAGGCACUUGCAGAGAUUGCAGACCUAGCAGGCAUGGUCUUACAAAAUCAAGCUGAUGGGUAACUUUCAUUAUCUCCAUUUCUCUUCUCUUUCUUGGGUCAAUUUGAUGUAUGAUCCGUGGUGACCUAGAUUUUUAUAUGUUUAUUAAUUCAAUCUCAGUAGUGAAUAAUAAUCUCAAUUUAGGUCAACUUAAAGAAAUCACACUCAACUCAACUUAAGGAUUAGUCAUUUUCCAUGUUAAUCUACUGGUUUCCAGUUGCUUAAAUUUUUUUGAAAGCUGGUGUGGAAAAAAGUUAGGAUGUGAUCUGUCAUGUAUUUGUCUAUAGUUUGUAUAAAUUAUGCGCUGUAUUCCUUUCUUUUUUUUUCAAUUUAAUUUUGUCAGCAGUCCCUUUUUUUUUUUUUUUUUCUUAUUUAAAUAAAGGCAAUCAACAUAUGUUUGAAGGGAACUUUAACGAAAAGCUCCCAGUACUGUUCACUUUAACGAAAAACCACAUUUUUUCACUAAAAAGUAAAUCCUGAUACUAUUUACUUUAUCCUUUAUUUUGUAAUUAUAUAUUUUCCCAAUUCAUUUUUCGUUUUGUUUGCAAAUUCUUAGGUACGAGUCAAAGUUUAUCAAAAAAAUUGUUAAAGUGAUAGGAGACAAGUUAAGUCGCACGCCAUUGAGUGUUGAACCAAAAUUGAUUGGAAUUCAAUCUCAAGCCGAACGCAUCAAUUUGUGGUUCCAAGAUGGAUCAAGUGAUGUUGGUAUAUUUGUUGUGUAUGGCAUGUCUGGAAUAGGGAAGAAAACCAUUGCAAAACAUGUUUACAAUUCAAACUUUGGAAGCUUUCAAGGAAGUAGUUUCAUUGAAAAUAUCAAAAAAACAGCAGAUCGACCAAAUGGCUUAGUUCAAAUACAAAUGCAACUUCUUUGUGAUAUUUUGAACGGCAGAGAAGUGAAAAUACACAGUGUUAGUGAGGGAAUAAUUAAGAUUGAAAGGGCCAUAAGCUCUAAAAGAGUUCUACUUGUUCUUGAUGAUGUUGACCAUAUGGACCAAUUAGAUGCAAUCCUAAGGAUGAAAGAUCAGUUUUAUCCUGGAAGUAAGAUACUAAUAACAACUAGGUGUGAAAGGUUGUUAAAGGCUGAUCAAGUUACAGAGGUGCACAGAGUUCAAACUUUGGAUGACAAUGAAUCAUUAAAGCUUUUCAGUUGGCAUGCUUUUGGCCAGGACCAUCCCAUAGAAGAAUACAUGGAGCACUCAAAACAGCUAGUGCAACAUAGCGGCGGACUUUCAUUAGCUCUAAAAGUUUUGGGUUCUUCUUUAUCAGGAGGAAGUAUAGGUGUAUGGGAAAGUGCAUUGGAGAAGCUAAAAGUUAUUCCUGAUGGUGAAAUCAUGACUAAACUAAGAAUAAGCUAUGAAAGUUUAAGUAAUCUAUCAUACUUGCGAAGACUACAUUUAGAUGAGAAUCCAAUUUGCAGUCUGCCAGUUUUCAUCAAAGGUUUGAGGAGGAUCGAUGAACUCUCUUUCUGGGGUUGUGAGAGGCUCGAAUCGCUUGUGGGGUUGCCGGAAGUGCACCAAAAGAUAAAUAUAGUCAGAUGCAUAUCAUUAAAAAAAAUAACUUAUCAUUCCCCUCCGCGACCGGUUACAAUACAUUUGCGUGACAACUGGAAUCUUGUUGAGUGGGAGCACUAUUACAAGUUAGAGCCUAUUGAUAGAGUUGAUGUGGAAAUGAUCAAACUUUUGGGCUUGUGCAACUUGGAAUCCAUGCCAGCUGUUCGAAUGCGUUAUCCUUCCUACACAAACGGGGUUCCAAAAGAGGUCCCCGUCCAGGUGCGCCUCUUUUUCUCUCUCUCUCGUAAGUCUUAAAUAUAUAAUGGGAAAGAAAUGACUGAGUAAUGUUGUGAUGACUGUGGCAAAUACAUAGGGACUGUAUCAACAUGGUAUAUUCAGCACAUUUUUUGUUGGGAAUGAGGUUCUAGACCUGUUCAGCUAUAAAAGUACCAAGUCUUCGAUAUCUUUUAUUGUCCCUAUACUACUUGCUAGUCACAGAAUUCGAGGCUUGAACAUCUUUGCUACCUAUGCAAAGGAAAAUUCAAAUAAUUAUUCUAGUGGACCUAAUAUUGGUCCAAUAAUGAUCAAAGUGAGAAACAAGAGUAAGGGUUUGAAGUGGAUCUAUUCCCCAGAGUUCUAUGGAAUUCCAGGGGACGGAGAGGAAAUGAUAUGGUUGAGCCAUUGGAAGAUGGAGAAUAAAACAAUAUUACAAUGUGGAGAUGAAGUGGUGGUUUCGGUAAUAACCGGACCACGUGACUUGUUUUCGGUAAAGGAGUUUGGUGUCGAGCUUGUGCAAGAGCACCAAGACAAGAUGGGUACCCAACACAACACCAAAUCCGAUCCUAAUUAUCCAUUUGUUAUCGGUGGAGAUUUGAAGACGUUUGACUGCAAACCGGGAAUAUACUUCCUUGGCAAUUAUGAAAGAAAAGAUAUUGAUGACAUUGAUAUCCUCACCAUGGACUCUGAUGAAGAAGACACAAGUAUGUUGUGUUGUUGUAUUGCAUUGAAUUAUACUCCAUCCAAACACUUACAGGUGCGUCCGUAUUCAUUUCAAAAAUGUUACCAAUAAAUUUUAUGUUAUUUGUAUGUUUUUCAGACAAAGAAGGACAAGAGGAUGAACCUGAUUACACAUGUGCAAAGACGAGGGCUGCUAGCAAUAACUACUGCCUGAGAGGCUGGAAGGUGCUCCUCACAUUUGUCGGCUUCUUUUUUGCGCUUGCUCUAGUAGGUUGGUCCUCCAUCUCCCAAAAAAGGAAUCGACACUAGUCCACAAGCCCACCAUGAGUUUGUAAUUUGACUUGAUAUAGAUAUAUCUUUUCAUUCCUUGCUCUCAAGAUGUUUUCUACCUUCAAAACUUCAGCUUCAAAGCUAAGCACUCUUAACUGCUUGAGAUAUUAAAGCCCCUUGCAACUAGAUACCGAAGUUCAAAUGUGUUCAACGCCAUCAAAUAUAGCAUAAAAUACAUCCAGCAUUAGCUAUACUAGCAGAGUAGCGGUAAAUAAGUAAAACAAGAUUUAUUUUGGAGGGGGGGGGGGGGGGGGCGGGGAUUAUUUCGGCACCGGGGAAAGCAAAAACAUCCAAUCUGCUUAUAAAUGACAAAGUUACAAAUCUUAAUUGUCGUUUACAACAAAAUCAUUCUUAAAGACUCGGCUCCCCAUUGAAAUUGUGUAAAUUGCAUAAAUAUCAAUACAACAGAUAUUAGAUAGAAUAAUAUAUAUCAAAUAAAUUAACGACAGGCAAUUUCAAAAGCUUUAAAUGCAAUCUGAAUACAUGGCAAGUAGGGGUAAACAUGUGAACAGAAAAAUCAUUAACAAUUUCAAAAGCUUUAAAAACCGAAAACUCUAAACUAUAGACUAAAUAUUAAAAAGUGAAAUUGAAAUGGGCUCUCAACAAAAUUGAAAAAAGACCGGGAUGAAUUGGUGAAUUCAAAGCAGGCCUUGUUAAUGCUACGAGGCCCAAUGGGAUCCGCAUAAAUAUUUUUCGUUAUUAUUAUUUUAUUUUUAACAAACGAUAUUAUUUACGUGAGUUUAGUGUCAUAAUGGAUUAUCAAUAAUAUGGUUCAAAUUCGUUUUUGGCAAAAAUUGAACCUAUUCUACUUACAAAUGAAGAAGAAUACCAUUAGACUUUAGUACUAAGUGGUUUGUUAUUUUAUUUAUAUUUUAUGGAAAAUGAAAGAAAGCAAUGAACAGCUGUACGUAAACUAAAUACAUCAAGGAAUGAAAUGAAGAGGAGUGGGAGACUAACGUUAGAAAGGUAAACGCACCACGACGGCGGCGACAUGGCGGUCAUUUAACGGAAAAUAACAGACAAAUCAGCCUCCAGAUCAAGUGUUGAAGCAAAACUCUGAAAGAUCGAGACUACCUACAGCUGAGCUCCAACCGACCAACCGUUGAUGGAGGCAAUCAGGAAGCUCAGAGAUCAGGUCGCCAAGCAACAGCAGGUACUCUCUCUUGUUUGAUUCCGAAUUUGUAUUUAUGGAUUUUGAUAUGAACAUAAUCUGCGUUGAUUGCGAGAUACUGAGAUUGCUUAAUGAAAUAAUAUUUAUAUAAUUGUUCGAAUUGAAUUGGAUCGAUUCGAGUAGAAUUUCACUAUUUCUGAGCUGUUUGGGGCUGUGUUGGAGUGCAAUGUUGCUGAAUUUCUGAAAUUUUGUGCUAGGCGUUGCUAAUUGCUUAUCGAUUUUCGGAUUUAAUUGGAUGCUUAAUUUUUACAUUUUCGAAAAACUUCAAGCGAAAAUGGCAUAUAAUUCAACGUUCUAUGCUUUGUUAAUGCAUAAGAGUUAGUCGAAGUUUUAUCGAGUUUGCUUUUGAUUAUUUUGUGAACACCGUCAGGCUGUGUUCAAACAAUUUUCUGGUGGCAUAUACGGGGGAUCGGAUAAUGUUGCCUCGGAUGAAAAUGAAUUUCAACAGCAUCAGAAACUCGAGAAGCUGUACAUAUCAACUCGUGCUGCCAAGGUUGCUACGCUUAUUUUUGUCUGUGCUUUAAACGAGCAUCACGUUAGUUGUGUUACCUAUCGUUUUUUGCUUCUUUUUUAACAGCAUUACCAAAAGGAAAUUGUCCGCGGAGUGGAAGGUUACAUUGUGGCCAGUUCAAAGCACGGUGAAAUAGGUAUGUUGCUUGAAAUGCAUUGUCUUUUCUUGGGAGUUUGGAUAAAUUCAUGUUGGUUUUAUCAGUUGGUAUACAUAAUACUUUUUCAACAGGUACCAAGCUAUCAGAAGAUCGCAGGAAAUAUGGUUCUGAAAAGACUUGCAGCAGUGGUAACACAUUGUCGAGAGCUGCACUGAGUUUUGGAAGAGCUCGCGCCCAACUGGAAAAAGAGUGCGGAGUUCUUCUUAAAGCCCUUGGCACACAGAUUCAAGUCAAAUUAUUACUAACAAUGGCUCAUUAAGUAAAAAUCAAAUAUUGCCAGUGCCGGUUUCAUACAAAUGGAAUUUCAACUGACUAAUUUUCAUGUGCAUUUGAUAAUUUCGAAAGAAAUUUACAGUAAAAAUUGUUUCCAUUUUCACGUGUGGUUCAAGAACUGGACUACUUUUUGUGUUAUUAUGCAUCAUAUAACAAACCGGUUCACCAUUUCUAUCUAUAGGUUUGCAUAAUAACUCUUUCUGUGCUUAUCAAUUUGCCUCUGUAGGUUGCAGAGCCUUUAAAAGCAAUGAUAGUGAGAGCGCCCUUGGAGGAUGCUCGACAUCUAGCUCAACGAUAUGCUAGAAUGCGGCGAGAAGCUGAAGCUCAGGUAUAUGCAGUUUCUUCUGUUUCCUACCAAUUUUAUACUACAGUGAUUUUAUAUGUUACAUGGUGAUCGUACAUUUUCUCGGUUAACUUUUUUUGUUUUCUUUUAUAAGUGUUUGUUCAUUUUGAGACAAUCAUGCAUUGGUAUUCAUAGAGAACGCAAAAUCUUAAGAUAUUUAAUGUAAACUUGUUGAGAUUGCUUCAUUACUUGAAGCUUUGUUGUAAUUUGGUUUUUGGUUUUUUUAUUACUCCUUCAGAUUUGUCUAUAUAUACUAACUUGCACCGGGAUAGGCUAUAGAUGCUUCCAGACACUAGACCAAAGCACCGGAUUCUGCAGGUAAUGCUGAUAUUAUCAUGAAACUAGAAGCUGCUGAAGCCGAGCUUCAGGAGCUGCAGUCUAGCGUUGCAAUAUUGGGAAAAGAAGCUAGUGCAGCUAUGGCUGCUGUUGAAGGUCAACAACAAAGAUUGACUCUUCAGCGGCUUCUUGCGAUGGUAACGGAUUGCCUUCCCCUUUUUAUUUAAGUAUUAAGACCUUGGCCUGUUCUAGUUACAAGAAUAAAAAGGUCGUACCCAGUGCACAAGGCUCCCGCUUUACGCAGGGUCUGGGAGAGAUGAAUGUCGGCUAGCCUUACCCCCAUUUAUGAAGAGGCUACUCCCAAGGUUCUAGUUACAAGAAUGAAAAGGAAAUUAAUUUUGUAAAUUUAUCAUUUUUCGUCCCCAUUCCAGGUUGAAGCAGAGCGCAACUACCAUCCAAACAUUCUUCAGAUACUUGAUCAGCUUGAAGGCGAGGUGUGAAAUAUCCUAAAGUCUUCCUUUCAGCGUGACAAUUUCUUUUCCCAAUUCAUUUGGCUGUAUAUUAUUCUAGUGUCUUGCUACUAAAAGAAGAGAUCAUUGACACUAUUUGUUGGGACAGAUUUUGUCAGAAAAGCAGCGAAUUGAAGCAUCGCAUAGUCCGCCUACAGAGGACGCUAUGCCUCCACCACCAUCGUAUAAGGAUCUCAGCCGUAGCUUUGCUUCUGAAACCUAUGAUGAAUUGACAGAGUUGAGGGACUCUUUCUUAGGAGAGGUAUCUUUAUGCUAAUGUUGUUGUAUCCAAGUUUUAGUCUGUUCGACUCUUUAGUUUCUAGUAACUGUUUCUUUUCGCCUACCGCAGGUAAUGUACACCUUCCACACUGUAACUGAUGUGGAGUUAAGUUUGUCAUUCGGGGAUUACGUUGUCGUCCGGAAGGUUCUGUCAUCUUUCCUGCUUGCAUGCUUUCAUCUUAUAUUCAUGUUCGGAUUUAUUUCUUUCGUAUUGAGGUUAAAUUUUCAUGUUCAGAGACGUUCACUCAGGUAUGUUCGUCAAUGCAUAUGCAUUAGCACACCACCGAGUGUAUUAGAAUAUGGAUUUCAGUUUUGGGUGCUGCAUGCAUUAAUGUAGUUUGUGUGGUUUUGGUUAUUGCUGCCGCUGAGCGUGAGUGGCUUUCUGUAGUUGCUGAGAGUUAUAUUGUGAGCAUAAUUCAUACAGCAGCUUUCAUAUACGGCACAUGUAGUCGGCACUGCAUUUAGAAAGAGAAAGUUAUAUUUUCUUCACUGUCUAUUCAAAACUGUUGAUUGAUAAUAAUUGACUCAAGUGAAUGCCACAUCAUCUGCCACAUCAUCUGCCAUGUCAUUCAUAUUUCUGUUUUGAAACCUGUUGUUCCCUUGAUAGCCUUGAAUAUCACCAAUUCGGGAUCCUGCAUUUGAACUCUCUCCUUGUGAAUACCCGGAAUUCUGAUGACCACCUGUGACCUUAUCUCCUUGAACAUACAUUGCAGCCAUGCCACUUGCCAGCGUAGAGACCCUUGCUUCCAUAGCAGAUUCAACACCAAUCAACUGCGCUCUGAAAUCUUUCAGCGGAAUAGAAGUCUCCCUUGCUAAAACUACAGCCUUGACAAUAUCAAACUCCGGUGGUAAUCCAGAUAAAGCAGUAAUAACAAAAUCAUUAUCAGUAAUCCUCUCCCCUGCAGACACAAGCUGAUCCCGAAUGGCUUUCAACCGAAGCAAAUACUUGUCAAUAGAAUCACUGCCUUUUUGAAUUGUAUGAAACUCAAUUUUGAGUUGAUUAAUCCUAGCCCUGGACACAGACGCAUAGCGGUCUUGUAAAUUUAUCCAAGCUUCAUGAGACGUUUUACACCCUAUUACAUAUUCCAUAGCAUCAUCCGACAAAGUAGCAAUUAACAGACUCAAUAGGGCCAUAUCUUUCUGAACCCAAGAUUUAUAAGCUGCUGUGAUUUCUGUAGUCACUCCAUUCUCAGUGUUAACCACAAACUUUGGUGGACAAGGAGACUCACCAGUAAAGAAUUCAAAGAAAUCAUACCCUCGUAAAACCGACUGAAACUGAUAAUUCAACUUAACAAAAUUGUCAUCUUGCAACUUCACAGUCAACAUACCAAGCAAACUUUCAAUGCGUACUGAUUUAUCAGACAUCUUUAUCACAAAGUACUGACAAGAAAUCAAUCUCAAUCACAAAUAUGUUUAACUCCAAACUUCAACAAUGAUCACCUCUUCAAUAUAUUCUCACUACUUCUUGGCAUCGGCCUUCUAUAUGUAUAUACUUCAAAAGCUGAAAUUCCAGCAAUUUCGCAAAUGAACAACUGUAAUCAUAUCACACCACAACUAUAAUUCGUCUAUCUUCAACAAAUCUUGGCAUCAGCCUUAAUCAAAUCCAACACAUAACCCAUAUAUGAAAAACCAAAGAAAACAUUCCAAUUCACCAUAUAUCUUCACUGAAGCAAAAACGCAAACACUUGAUGUGCAAAGAAUAAGGAAAGAAACCAACAACUUGAUUGAAUGACCCUCAACCCAAAAUUCAUCAGCAAGCGUUCAAGCACUUCACCAAUCCUCCAAGAACUCCACCACAGCCUUCAACGAUCGAUCCCAAAGAAUUUCUCAGCGGAAGAAAAUACCCAAAAAAAAAAUCAACCUUGGCUCGAUACCAUCUUAACCAAGAAGAUCAGACUUGCAGAAAGAAAAAGAAAGAAACAAUACAGAGAAUAUAGAAGAAAACUUAGAAAGAAUAUGAAAGGUUUUGUAUUGAUAGAAUGAUAUUUUCUUACAAACAAUAAGCUGCAAUCAGCUUUUUAUAUCCCUAUAGUAGCCUAACUACCUUGCUUACUGUGUAAGCUACACAGCACCAUCCUAACUAACUUUCAACAGAAAUAUGAAUGACAUGGCAGAUGAUGUGGCAGAUGAUGUGGCCUUCACUUGAGUCAAUUAUUAUCAGUCAACAAAAACUUAUAUGUUGCAUGUUCUGGCUUUUAAAGUGAGUCGGCAUCAGAGUUUUUAUUUGAGAAAAAUCAGUUUUGUGUCCAUGUGUUUUCAAAGAAAAUAUUUUUGUUUUUAAUCACUGAUUUUUCAUUGUGCUUCAAUUAGAAAUCAAUUAUGAGAAUCUGCCUUGUGAUUUUCGUAAUUGGUUGAUUUCAAAAAAUCAUUACAUUUCAUACAUUCUGCAUGAUCGCGUUAGUAUCUUGCAAAGUUCGAGGACACAAUGAUUGACGGUCGCGUUAGUGUCGUGCCACUUUCACUUGAAGGCUGAAGAGAUCAAGUAGCAAAGCGCAAUGAAAAAAAUUGCCUACUAGUAUGUGGGUCUAGUUAAUGAGUUUUGUAAGUCUUUCCAUACUCAUUUCUCUUAUUGUUUGUUCUAGCUUAAGAGUCUGAGGAUUUUCUCAGUGGUGAGUUUUACCUUGUUUAAUUCUACAUCAUGUGUACACAUGUUAUUUGUCUUUUUAUUGCAAAUGUGUAGGAUAAUCUUUCACUUAUUUUCUUAUAGUGAACUCUAUCUUAGACAUUCAUCAACAUAUAGAGUUUACGACAGAGGACUUUUGCUACCAUAUUAUUCAGUGCAUUGAUUAAUUUGUAAAGCUCUCAUUUAUCCAAAUUAUAAAAUAUAAUCUGUACAAGACAUUAAAAAAAUGGAAGUGUCUUUCAACAGUUUGGAUGUCAUGUAUGGCCAUAUCCUUUAUUUCCAGAGUAAUGUUAUUCAUACCAUGUUUUUAUACCACAUUUAUAUACCACCUUAGGUGGCAUCUGAUGUGGACAACCACAUUAUUUGAAAAAUUUGCAAAACUCGAGAAAAUGAAGGAGAAAUACUCCUUGUAUGCCACAAUCAUAAUUUAAUUAACUAGUUUUUCUUAAUUAUUAGUUUAUUAAAUAAUGAACUAAAUUUAAAAAUCUGAUUAAUUGAAAUGAUGUGUCUGUUCACAUCAAAUGCCACCGAAUAUGGUAUGAAAAUAUUGUACAAAAACAUAAUAUAAAUAACAUUACUCUUAUUUCCACCAUUCUUAUCAACUGGAUGGGGAUAUAAAGACAUAAUGUGGCAAUCGUCCAUUAGAAAGGUAAUGUACGUUUUGAAAAUCGUGGCAAAUAUUGAAUGAGUAAUGACGCCUCUAAAAAUAAAAUUUAGUUAUUUGAAAGAAUCUUUCAUAAAAUAAAGUAACGAAUAAUCAACAAAAGUAGCAGUACACCAAGUUGAACCUUUUUCAACGUUGAAAUGAAAUAUGAAAGGAGAUCAAGUUGAUAUUAUUCAUCUACUUUUUUUUUUUUAAUAAACGAUAUUGUCUACGUUAAGAAAAUGGACUUGGCUAAGCCUCACAAUGGACUAGCAAUAAUAUGAUUCAAAUUCACAUUUAGCAAGAAUCAAACCAAAAGAAGAGAAAUAUUAUUAGACUGUAACAUUAUUCAUCCACUUUUAAAUAAUAAACAAUCAAGAAAAACACUGCACGCAGUCCCCUCUCGUCACUUACCACUAGUGCCAUCACUUCCCUGAGCAAAAGAGAUAUUUCCAAUUGCUUGACCAAAACAAGCAUUGAGUUCAUCCAUCAAUAACAGGUCCACAUCUCAACCCAAAUAUAAUGACGUCAAAGGAUAGGGGAAAAUGAGAAGGAAACUCUGGAGGGUAGAGGGAAGGAAAAGGAGAAAAGGACAAAGGAAGAAGGGAAAAGUAGAAAGGGAAGGAGGACAAUGAGAGGAAAUUUCGGAGAAUAGAGAAAAGGAGAAGGGAAAAGUAGAAAAGGAGAAAGGAAGGGAUAAGGGGAAGGAAGCUUAGGAGGGUAGGUAGAAGAAUGCAUAAAAAUAAAAAAUAAAAAAUAUAAAAGGAGAGUCGACUUCACCAUUAUGUCUACUAGCGGAAAGGAGCAACAUUGUAAAUUAUAUUUCGUAUAAUGAGAAAUUAGUAUUCCUACUUGAGGAUAUGACACAACUUGCCGAAUCUCGUUACGAUGCAGCAAGUUUAUAAUUGCACAACAAUUUGAUCAACCAUCUUAAGUUCAAGCAUACAUGUAUUAAGAUUCAAAUUUUUCCAGAUUUUCCUUAUGAAACUAACUGAACAUUACAAGUGCCACAUUAUUAUACGGUUCUAUCAAGUUUUAAUUAUUGUCUCAUAACCACAUCAUCUUUAGGACAAUAAUCUUGCGGUUGAAUAUAAAAACCUUCGACAUGGUGAUAUUGGAAACACUAGUUGGUGGGUUGAUUGGUAGAAAUGGUUCCAACACUUCAAGGAUGAGAAAUGAGUAUUGAGCAACGAUCAAAAUAUAUUGUAUUUUAUCACAAAAGAUGUGUGCAAUUAAAAGUGCAUUUUAUUACAAAAAAGAUGAGCAACGACCAAAAUAAUUGUUAUUUAUAAAAUCACACAUAAAACAAGAAGGAAUCUUUUCUUUUUCUUUUCAUCUCUGCCACUAGCGGCCGACCAUGACUUAAACCAUCUCCAACCCUUGGGCUAAAAGCCAAAUUUUUUAGCCCGGAAAAUUUAGCUUUUAACCUAGAAACAUCUUUCUACUCCAACCCUUCUACCCUAAAAUUUUAGCCCGGAAUUAUUAAAGAAUGAAAUUAGCCUAAAUUUUUUUCUUAAAUCAAUUUUUUUUUUAAAAUAAAUAUGUAGAUUAUUGUAAAUUAAUUUUAUGAACAUUUUAAUCUAAAAAAAUUUAAAUUCCGAUAAACAUUUCGCAUUUAGCCCGAGGAAAGCUGGGGGUAUUUGGCCCAGAAAUAGCAUUUAGCAUUUAGCCUAAAAUUUUAGCAUGGGUUGGAGAGUGUUUAGGGGGUAAUUUGGUAGGUAAUUUGGCUUUUAGCCGAAAUGGUCUUAAAGAAACGCUUUUUGGGUCAAUGGAUGGGAACGACCCAUUUUAUAAUAUUGUUUGUAAAUUUUUCUGGAAGUAGAUGGAAAAGACCGAUGUACAUAUUUCCCCUGCUCACAGACAUUUGCAUUGCACCUAGCAAACACCAGUUUUUUUGUUUGAACAUCGAUCCACAUCAAUGGCUCUUGUGAGAACAUCUCCAGGAACCUCCUCUGAUUCCAACACUUUUCGGAGUUAUCGCUACGACGUGUUCUUGAGCUUCAGAGGCGAAGAAACUCGCAAGACUUUUACCGACCAC